rnacentral:lncRNA from 1 species
CUUAUUUUUGGACUAACUAGUUGUGAGAUGUUGUAGGAUUGUUUUGAUGUAAGGCAGGACCAAGUUUGGAAAAAUGCACACUCUAUGAAGUUUGCACUGCGGCCACAUUGCAUUUUGUGCGGCCGCAAAGGCCUUAGUGCGGAGCAACAAUUCAAUGCGGAUUACAGAGUUAAUUGGUCAAAAAUGAGGAGUCUCUGAAGUUUUCCACCGCUGCCGCAAUGCAUUUUGUGCGGUCCGCGGUGGACCACUACGACCGCAUUGCAUUUUUUGCGGUCUGCAGUGGACAUCUUCCCAGUUCCUCUUGUUUCUGAGUACCGCGGACCGCGAUGCCAUUUUGUGCGGUCCGUGGUGGGUAGGUGAGAUGGGCCCCAUUUCCUUUUUCUAUAAAUAGGACCUGAUGCCCUCAUUUCAAACUUUUCGACUCUUUUGCUCUCAAUAGUAAAAAAGUACUGUUCAUCACGUCUAACUGCACGAAUUUAAUUGUUGAGUUUCAUUCAUCUACAAUGCAUCUCACUCCUGGUACUUUUAAUCUUUCCCUAGCUUUUAAAUGUGUUUUAUUUUCUUUUAAAUUGUUAGUUCUUCAAUUCUUCUCCCCUUUUUCUUUAAUUUUUAGCUUAGGAUUUUAUAAGUUGUAUAGAUUAGGACUAAUUAGUUAAAAACACUGAUUGAACACCUAGGGGAUUAAUAAAAGGUGAAAAAUUGGACUAAAAAUGUGAAAAAUUGAAACCCUAGGUUAGUGUUGCUGGGCAUAACUUACCGCGGACCGCAGUGGAUUUUGUGCGGUCUGCGGUGUUUCAAUGCGGUCCGCAAUGCUAUUUUGUGUGGACCGCGGUGGUGGAAAUUUUGAAAGUUAAUAAUUGAGGACCGCGGCCUAGAUGGAUUUUGUGCGGACCGCAGUGCCUCAAUGCAGACUGCAAUACAUUUUGCGCGGUCCGCGGUGCCUGGAAUCAGAGAGUGGGUAUUCUGAACCCCACCUCAAUGCGGACCGCGGUGCAUUUUAUGCGGUUCGCAGCAACUUCUUUGCGGCCGCACUUCAUUUUGUGCGGUCCACGGUCUUCAAUUCUACUUUUCAUUUUCAACUGUCUGCACUUUUAUUCUGCACUACUUUAUCUGAUAUUGGGAUACUAACAAGAAUAGAAUUCAUUCUCCUUGCAGAUAAUGGUGAAAUCACGAGGCAGAGGCGAUAAACAGAUAGGGAAAGGAGAGUCCUCCUUGGGUAGGGGACGAGGUAUGAUUAGAUUGACCUUACAAGCCCGACAAGCUAUCAAGGAUACUAGAGGAAUCAUAAGGGCUGCGGAUAGAGCUGCUUCACAGUUGGGAAGUGAGUAUAUGCCCUCCCAGGAGGCAUUCGACUCCGACUCCAUGCCAGAAUAUGUUCCUGACUAGCAGGAGAGGCCGAGAUUGAGGGAUACAUCUCCGGGAACCCCCUACUACCCAAGCAUUAGUGCACAUUUCUUCUGAGUCGUCUGAGGGCUCAACUGCGGACAGUGACAAUGCAUAUUCUACCUCACCUAUUGCUUCACUAUCCAGUGAGGAUCCUGUAGAAGAAGAAGGAGGGGGUGAGCACCAAGUAGGAGGGGUGGAGAGAACCAGAAACCCGGAGGCAUGACAAGACAAGUUUGUGAGUAAAGUGGCCUACCACAAGUUCAGAGAAUGGUGGCCCGAGAGGAAGUUAAUACCUGAGUGGAAAUUCAUCACAAAGGACCUUUUGCCUCAUAACCCCAAUGUGUUGAGGCAGUUCAGAGAAAGAACAGGAUGGGACUAUUUCAUAGGCCACGUGGAGGAUGCAAAUGAGCACUUGGUGAAGGAGUUUUAUACGAAUGUUGCCCACAUUAAAAAGGGCACCACAAUGACCAAGGUGCGAAAUUUUCAAGUAAAAUUUGAUGGCAAAACGAUCAAUGACUACCUGGGCUUCCCGGAGGAGGAUGAGGCAUUGUACUUAGAAAAGGUGGCAUUGGGUGAGGCUACUCGUCCUUGGUUAGCAGAGUACUUGGCAAUCCCAGGUACCACCCCAGGUUGGUUGACCGCGGGAGUGAAAAUUCUAAGGAGAACCCUGAACUUCGAAACAAAAGGGUGGGAGACAUUUGUUUGCAGCAAGAUAGACCCUACCACUCACGACAACUCUCUCCCUAUCUCCCGGGCUAUAUUGGUGGUAUCGAUCAUGGCGGGGUACCCAAUCAACAUCGGGAAUAUGAUGUCCAGGGUGAUUACACGGGUGGUGAACGAAGGUGAUAGAUCCUACCCCUUCCCAAAUUUCCUGACCAUGUAUUUUGAGGAUCUAGAUGUGAAGAAGAGAAGAUUUGAUGUGAAAGUGAAAGCCAAGGCACCUUUCUCCUGGUACAACACCAAGUGUGCUGACAACCCCAAGGACCCUAAGGGCAAAGCCACUACUUCAACUGGUCAGUCUGAAGAGCCAGUAGUAGCCGUGGCUCCUACUUAGCCUCCUUCAGCCACACCAGACAUGGCCCCAGGACCCUCCACUUCUAUAGCUCCAGAUAUCCCCUCAUCCGCAGCAUAUCCUUUGACUGCUCACCGCCUGAGCUAGACCCUUGCCAGUAUCAACAACUGGAUGCAGACAACCAUUUCUAAGUUGUCUGUACUUUCUACUUCGGUGGCAGCACAAUCUGCACAUCCUCAGCCACAGGUCCCACAGUUAGUGGAAGACACUCUCAAGGAGCUUCUGGAGAACCAACAAGUAAUAUUGGACAUUGUGGGUUCACACGGAAAAACAUUGAAUGAUUUGGCCAAAGAAGCAAAGAAACUGAGGAAGACUGGGGCAUCCAAGGAGUCGGUGAAAGAGUUGAGAGUGGUGGUGGAGAGUUUGAAGGUGGAUCACUUGCCUUUGGACCUUCUAUGCAUGACCCGACUCCAGCAGCCCAGCCUGAGCUGGAGUAGGAGACAGAGAGGCCACCCAAGAAAAAGAAGGUAAUUCCUAGUACGGAUGAUGAUGUUAUAGAGUUGGAGGACCCAUAGGGAGGCUCCUCUAGCCAACCCAGAUUCCAGUACAAGCCCAGGCCUCAGUACAAGCCUAGGUCCUAGUGGAGACACAGGUUUCAGGGAGCCAGUCACGGGUUCCCGAGCAGUCCGAGGACCCAGGGACCCAAACUCAGGAUCCUAUGCAGACGGAGGGCCAAUAGGGAGUUUCUUUUUCCUCCCUAUCUUUUCUUGUGCUUAUUUUGAUAGCAUUGAGGAUAAUGCUAGCUUUCAUUUGAGGGGGUAGCCCUAUUUGGAUGACUGUAUAUAUGACAUUACCUUUUUCUUUAUGCUUUCUUUUUUACUUUUGGUAUGUACAUAAUUUUAUCAUUUUAUUGUACUUUUCGUACUUUUUAAUUUUGGUCUAUAUAUAAAGUUAUGUUCUAAUGUAUAUAUUCAUUCUCCCUUAUGUAUAUUCAGCUAAAUUCCCCUCUUGUAUAUAUUUAUUUUACUUUCCGCAUUUUUCCUUUCAUAGCUUCUUAUUUUAUCUUCGUAGCUUCUUGUUUUGAAUUUUUGCGUGCAAUAAGCCUUUGGUUUUCAUAAUGUUACAGUUCUUUCCAAAGGUGAAAUUUGUGUGAACCGGGUGGCUCUUCAUGACAACCUUCUUAAGGGUUUGAGUCUGUUUUCUUUUUGAUUUUUUUUGUGCAAAUAGUAGCUAGUGAGUAAUGGUGCCUCAAGAAAAGCUUCAUUUGGGCCUAACACAUUUGCCUUUGAUCCUAUGGUCAAAAACACAUCGUUGUGUAUAGGAUGAUGAAAGUUGUGACCUUGAGACUCUUGUAUUGGCCGAUAAUCAUCAAGUGAUUUUUCGGGACCAUUGUGUUGCUCAAAUCUUAGAUAAGGUUAUUGUGGGCUCCCGACUCUAUCUCUUUAGCAAUCCUAUAGCUUGUGUGGUGAGAAUUUGAAUUUCAAGUCCAAGUCCCACUCCAUUAGUCUAGAACUUGCCCUGAAUAUUUGUCUAGGCGAAAUUCUAAGUGUAGUUUGACUUGAGAUGUGAUUAUAGGCCCUCCUUGAUCCGAAUGAUAUCUUGAAAACUUCCAUAGCCUACCAAAGAUAAUAUCACUAGUCAACCCUUUUGAGCCAUAGAUCUUUUUCUUUCAAAAACCACGAUACAAGCCUUUACCCAUUCUAAAAACACCCUCUCUUGGCACCCGAUCUUUCCUUAGCACAUGGCAAAAGCAUAAGUUUGGGGGGAGAGACGAGGAAUGCAACAAAGUGGUAAAAGGUACAAAAUGAAGAAAAAGAAAGGCAAUGAAAAAGAAAGAAAAUCAAAAAGACAAAAAGAAUGAUCAAUGUAGAAAAAAAAUGAAGGGAUUUAAUAAAAAAGAGAUGAAAGGUGUGGAAUGUUUAGAAGGGAGGAAAAGGUUUGAAAAGAACAAGAAAGAGUGACAGUGUGUCUCUCUAACCCCUAAGAAAGAAGCAAAUGACUUAAAAAGUCAAGAGAAUGUGUGCCAAAAUGAAGCAAAUGAAGUGCUAAAAGGAGGAUGGAACCUACUUAGACCAAAUAUUUCCUACCCUGAACCAAAAGCCUUCACUAUAUCCCCACAAAAGCCCUAUAUAAUCUUGAGUUGAAUGAAGCUUACAUUAGUGGUGACUCGCAUAAGGGGCAAACUUAUGGUACUUAGAGCCGGACUUGUAACCUUUCUUUGAGAGAGAUGAGUGUGUUUUCACUAUCCUCGUUCUAAGUGCUACAAUCUAAAAUUGAGGUUUGCUUAGGGAGAGUUGAGGAUGUGUGAGUUUGGGUUCCACAAUGAACAAAGUAGUAGAAAGAGUUCUUCUUGAUGGGUUGAGUCAAUUCUUGAUGCUCUUGUGUGACACUAAAACCAUGGUGCUUAAAAGAGUGAAUGUUGUUAAUGAUUCAUUUGAAUUGAGGGCAAUUGUUAGUCCUAAUUGAUGCUAUAUGAGGUCACUUUAGGUCAGCUGAAUUUUCUUGGAUUUACUCUUAAGGAGGCGAGUCUUAUUUUGUUUGCUUGAGGACAAGCAAAAAUUUAAGUUUGGGGGAGUUGAUAACUAGGGAUUAUGGUUCAUGUUACACUCCUUAUUACUUGAGUUUUGAUUAAAAAUGUAUACAAAAUAGUCCCAAAGGCUUACAUGUUAUACUUGUUUGCAAGGUUUGGUCAAAAAGGUGACAAUUAGUCAAAACCAGAUCAAGAAGGAGUGAAACAUGCACAAGUAUCAAGAACAAGUCCAAGCACAGUGCAACAAAAUCCACUGCAGCCGCAUUCCAUUUAGUGCGGUCCUCAAUGAGGAGAUUCAGAGAGGUGCUUAUUUUGGAAACUCAAGCAAUGCGGCCGCAAAAUAUUUUGUGUGGACCGCACUGGCCUCACCGCGACCGCAAUUGAGAUUGUGCGGUCCGCAAUGAUGGGGUUCAGAGAGUUGGGAAUUUUGAGGACAUAGCCAAUGUGGUCCGCGUUCCUUUUUGUGCGGAUCGCAGAAGAAGCCACCGCGGCCGCACUCGAUUUUGUGCAGACCGCACUGCCCCUACAGGGGUAUUUUUGUCCAAAUAAUUCGGCAUAGUAUAAAUACUUUCUUUUCCCAUUUUUAGGUCAUCAGUUGUAAUCUAACUUUGAGUUGCGCUCGUGAACGGUGGUUUUUGACUAUUUUGAGUAAUUUGUAGCUACUUUAACACUGAAGUUUCUUUAUCUUAGUUUGUAAUUAAAUCAUCUAUUUCUUUAUUUUCUUUCAUUAUUAUGAGUAGCUAGACUCAUUAGCUAGGGUUGUGGCUCAACCCUAGUGUGGAUUUUUGAUAGGUCUUGAGUUUUAAGGCUUGAAUGUCUAUAUGUGUUUGAUAUUUGGACUAAUUUGUAUUUUUCAUAUUGAAUUAGUAGUUGUAAAUACUAAUUUGUGCCUUUUUGACUUGGGCUCUUCUUGAGAAAGAGAGCUUGAGUCUAGGAAAAUUAGUCCAACAAUGAAUUGGGGCGUAUUCAAGAGAUUGAUAGCCUCAAUUAAAGAGUUAAACCUAGAGAUAGUAAUACCCGACUAGAACCUAAAUCGCCUGCACAAAUUAUCAUACCCAAUUGGUCUUGAGAAAGUCAAUUAGGGAAAAAUCACUCAAACUACCGAGAGGUAUAGAGUGAGAAGUUUAGUGCAUUGAUUAUAUCGUAAUCCCCAAUAUGACAACCUUGCCUUAGAUUCGAAAUCCCGUCAAGUAUUCACCUAGGAGAAAGUCACUUUCCUAGUGCCUCUUUAACUAUUUAGAACACCCUAGAAGCAAUCAUUCGUAGUUUAAUUUAGCAUACUAUUAGCAUAAAUAUUAGAAGUAAAGACCAACCAAAAGAUGAUUGGAAGAGUAAUUAAGAGCAAUUACGCAUCUCUAGUUUAGAUAGGAAUCCAAUUCUCACUUUUAGCUCCCUGCGGAUUCGAUCCUAACCAUCUCUGGCAAAAGUUGCUUCGACUGCUCCCGCCACUCCGUAGUGGUGCAGGGUUGGCUCUGAUCAGUCUCGACCUUUUUGUCGUUGGCUUCUAUUCUCUUCUCACCCGAUUCAAUCCUCUUUGUGAGGUUCUCGAGCAUCUUUACGAUGGCGCGGUCAGCUACCGACCCGUUGUUGCUUGACCUCUCCGGUACCUGUUCGGCCAGGGGAGCCAUCCCCGGUGCAACCGUGCUAGGAGUUUUCUAGUGGUUUUGUAGCUGGGCAAUCGCUAGCUGUUGUGCCUGCAACAUUUCAAAAAUAAUGUGAAGGCUAACCUCCCGUUCUUCCCUAGCCGGGGUUUCCUGGGCUUCUUGUUGGUCUCCUUGGUGCACGCUCCUGUUAGUGUGGGAGCUUACAUCGACGUGUUGAGCAUCACGUGAGACCGCAUCCACGGAGAUCAGUUCUGGCGCAUUCUCAGGGUUUUGUGAUGGUACGCCAGCACCUGGAACGUCUACGCUAUUUUCUCCGUGGUUCUUAAGAUUGUUGUUUACUGAGUCGGACAUUUUGACCAGUAAUCGAAGACCUUGGACAAGAAAAAGCGUGAAAGAUAACCUGCGUUAUGUAGUUAAACCAGCAAGAAAAUAAUCACUAUUAGUUUUAGCCCCAUGGUGGGCGCCAAACUGUUUACCAUAAAAAUGGUAAUAACAAUUAAAUUUGAUUUAGUGGUUCUAAAAAUACGUGAUAUAUUUUUAUGCUAGUUGUUAGGCAGUAGAUACUAUGUGAAAGACUUAGAAACGAAAUAAGAGCUUAACAAUGAGGUGAUAAUCAAACCGAAUCACUGCCAAUCGGGGCCUCGAGCUUGCCUAUUCAAGGGCCUCGGGGUUGAGUCUGAAGCUCGGCUGGGAGCUAUCGAAGGUGGUCGAUGGCGAAUAACAGUUACAAAUAGAUCAAGGGCGGCUCUUUAUGGCUAAUAAUAAGCAAUAAAUGAUGAACAAUGAAGAGAAUCACAAUAAAUACGAGCAAUAAAUAAAGUAAUAAGAUCAAGAGAAUAUGUUAGAGAGCAGAUAGAAUGUUCUUGCAUAUUUAGUAUGGAGCAACAGAUCCUUACAAAAUGACAAGGAUCCUCUUUAUAUAGGAGGGGAGAUCUCAACAUAAUACAAAUACAUUAAUUACAAAGAUAUAGGCUGGUACAUCCAUUUAAUGCCUUGAUUCACUUUUCCGACUAGACCACUAGACCUAGCCAGUUAUAUGCACGUGCCUUGGGAACUUCACCCUGAUCCCCCGAGACCGUUAAUUUUAUUACCUCGGGGUCGGUCGUUACUCAUACUGUCUCGAAGUGGAAUUGUCGAGAAUUCUCGGAGUCGAGUACUGGAAACCCUUAAGAUGCCAUGAAAUCGAGUCGUCGAUUUCCACCGUAUACAGAGUGCAUUUACUUAGCAGGCGUUUGGAUAUAAGAAUUGUAAAAUUCCAAAAAUAAAAAUAAAAAUAAAAAUUCUUUUCAAGUAAAAAUGAUAUUUGAAAAUUAGAGUUGUGUUUGGACAUAAAUAUAAUUUGGGUUGUUUUUAUAGUUUUGUGAGUGAUCUGAGUGAAAAUUUUGAAAAAUAUUUUUUUGGAUUUUUUAAAUUUUCGAAAAAAUUUCAAAAUUCAUCUUCAAGUAAAAAUUAAAAUUUUUAUGGCCAAACACUAAUUUUAAAAAAUAGUGAAAAAUUUUCGAAAAAAAGUUAAAAUAUUCUUUAUGUCCAAAGGGGCUCUUAUAAAUUUGGUUCAAAAUCCAAGAUAAAAGGAAGUAGUAGUACAAAUAAUUCAAAUUAUAGUAGGGAGGCCAGUAACGUUCGAAUUUGUCCAAAACGGAUGGCAAACACCGUAAAAUGAAUGGAAUAUGAUGCCCAAAAACAACAAACAAAUAAGUGUCAGAAAUCCGCCCCCUAAAUUGUCGGUUUUUGUGUUUAGAGUCCCCCUUCUUACAAAUUUUCCAAAAUACAGCCUUGCGUAUAGGAAGGAGUGGGGUCCCACCACCCUAGCUGAUCGGGAACACAGCAAAUAAAAUUAAUUCAUUCCAAAUAAAUACAAAAAAAAUUAAACAAAAACAAGUAAAACUUCAAACUCUAGAGAGAGAAAGAGAGAUUCAUACCAUAGCGCUGCGAAGUUAGAAAAAGAAAAAAGUUUGUAGAGAGAGAAAGACUAUCCAUUUCCUUCUUCAUUCAACUUUCAUUUUCACAUAUAUAUAUACAGAAAUACGGAACCAUAUACAUAUAUACGUAUAAGAAUUGUGUUUAUAUAUAUAUAGAGAGAGGAACAAAAGGAAAAGGUUUUCGCUUUACCACAAGCUGAUUCAUCGGAGGCAAGCUUUGUUUUCUUCUUCCUCUUUGUUAUCGUCAUAAACGUCGUUGCUACUUCGGCUGGGAUUUUUGAAACUUAAGGAGCCCGAUCUGACUCAGCGAGUCAAAAUUUCACUACUCUUUGCCUUGAUGAGUUGGAGAGCAAGAGAUCGAUAGUUCAAAACUCGUCAAUGGUAAGUCUCCGUUGAAACGACUCGGUUCCUUGUCGUUCCAUUCCGUUUGCUAUGUUUCAUUUCGUUCAGAGUGAUUGCUUGUUGCUUUAGUCAAAUCUGUUCAGCGCAAAGUCAAUUUUGUGGAUUAAUAUUUAGUAUUUAUUUUGAUGUUAUUGUGUGGACGAAAUUUAAUUCGGACAUCGUUAGGAAAUAGUGUAUUUUUUUGUGCAUGCGUGAAAUAUAUAGGAACUGGACUGAAGAUGGUGUGUUUGUAUGUCUAUUAGGACUAGAAAUUUGUGCUAUAUAUCCAGGGAUUAGUUUAAUACAAUUUUUUUUUAACUCAUUUCUGAAAUUUGAUUUUAUCCUCUCUUUUUUUCCCAGUCCGGAAAUUGGAUGUCGGAAAAAGAUAAACAGUAGAAUGAAUUACUGAUUAGUAGUAAUUUGUUUUACUAGUAUUGAAUAGCAGAGGUUGCAGACAGUAGUAGCAAUCGGCAAGUUAAAAGAGGUUUCAUAAAGUGUUAAUUAGGAGGCUGUCUAUUGUGUUACUUUGAGGAGCUGAAAUUUGGAAAAUGCAGUUUCAACUUUAGAAGUGAAUGUGGCAAAAUAAAUACAACUUUGGGUUUCAAAAUUAAACUUUAACUGGUUAGUGGUUUCAUAUGUCUUUGGACAAUAUUAGAGAUAAAAGUACUAUUGAGAAAAACAUUUAAUAUAAAUAAGAUGUAACAAUUAUUUAAUAAAAGAUAAGUUAGAGUUUUGGAAAGAAAAAAUGGUUCGAGGCACGCUAUGGAAGGUGCUUUCUUAAGAGUAGAUUACCGUCGCUACUAAGGUGCAAAUAACAAAGUGACGUCCUGCUCCCAAAUUACGGCAAACCACUCAGAAAUCUUCUAAUAUGCAAUCGGAUGGAAGUUCUGGAGAACUCUUAAAUCUCAAAACAGCUUUUGUCUGAAUUUAGGAUGAAGUAAGAAAAAAGAAACUCUUGAAAAGAGUGACAAUAUGAAGAGUCAAAAAGAUGAAGACAUGGAAACACAAGAUAUCUGAUAUUUUGGCUAGUGGAAUAGGUAUUCAUAGAGAUAACUAACAUGCCUUUUUAAUAACAGGUGUAUCCUUUAAAGAUUGCAUCACAACUUCUUAAUAAAUAUUAGAUAUAUCUAAAGGAUUGGAUCACAACUUCUUAAUAAAGAUUAGAUAUAUCAUCAUAUCAUAUUAUACUAUCAUAUCAUCAUAUAAUACUAAAAGUGGGAGGACCCCAAGUUAAAAGUUGAUUUACAAAUAUACCCAUUAAUAACUAAGUGAUAAUUUUGCCCAUGAGUAAGAAAAUGCCUUCUAUUAAAUUAAAAUAAAUGAAAAAUCAGUUGCAUUGUUUCGCAUUCCAACUUUUAUUUGUUUGGUCCUAUGAGCUUCUACUGGUUAUAGUACUAACAUUUAUGCAUAGUCUUUACUCAUACGUUACUACACUAUAAAAGUAGACACCAAAGUGUCAAAUUACUUCAUCAUUUUUCAUUUUCUCUUCUUUGUUAGAAACUCCCUUUUUCCUAGAAGAACAUGCUCUUUCUGUUUUUUUUUUAAUUUUGCUCUACUCCAAUUACAACGCCCAUGUAAAGAAAUCUCAGGGAACUUAGUUUAUGGUGGGCUGCUCUAUUGCUCUUAUCCUCAUCAUAUAUGUGAUCAAAGUCUCAUUGUGCCGGUCUUUAAAGGAAACCUCAGCACAUAUAUCUGUAGACUAUAAUUUAUACGCCUGCGAUCUUAAAUCUGAUGCAGUUAUUCUUGAUUACCAUAUUUUAUUUUGAUUGUUUUUUUUUUCUUUUCUCCUUUGGAUAUAAAUUUACGCUUUGUUUUCUUGACUAAUUAUGAAAAAAAACGACUGGUUCCAUUACUAGAGCUAUUUUUUUUCCUUUUCUCCGCGAUAAACAUUCAAAGACUAUGGGUUAUUUUUGUUAAUCGUUUCCUUCUGAUAAUCAAAAGUAUUUUGUAAUUCAAUGAGAUGAAACCUUUAGAAGAUCUUUAGACAAAAAGAAAGAAAAGAUGAAAGAUUUGUUUUGAAAGAAAUUCUAGCAAUCAAUUGCAUAUAUUUAUAUUUCGAGUAAUGAAAUAGUGAAGAAAAUCGCUGAAUAAAAAAAGGAAGAGUGAAGAAAAGUCAUUUUCCAAUAUAUCCAUGAGGUCUAGAAUCAACAGUAAAAUUAGAAGCUUCAUGUCACGUGCUUCACCAAAAAAUGGACGGAGAUAGUACUUUCAUUCGAUAACUUUUUGAUAUGUAUGCCGCUGUAAAAAAGAGGCUACAACUUCUAAAAGACAAGGCACAAACUUUAAGAUGUGAAGAACUUGCAAACAUAUCUGACAUUCCUUAUAUUCACAUUAAAACUAUGUACUCGUGAAAUAUAAAAAAUUGAGAAAAUUGCCAAGCUGAAUAUGUGGUAUAUUAGAAGAACUGCAUAAGAAAAAGUUAUACCAUUUUAGUUUAGUGUCUACAACUAAAAAAUAUAAUAGUGACAUCGAGUCAUACGAAUAGGCUGACUAUAUUCAUCAAUUUCAGCUUGUGCUUUUUCCUUUCAAAUUUAUGUUACUAAGUAUGCACAAGUUUUAAUAUUGUUUAUAUUGUUUUAAAAUUUUUGCACCAACUGAUAUGGAACACGCGUGCAAUGCACGUGUCCAGAAACUAGUCCUUUAAAAGUGGAUUGCUCUAGGGUUUUGGUCUAGUGGUAAGAGCACAACAUGUGAUGUGUGGGUUAGGUUACGUCACGACAAAAGUCUGAUAUUUAAGUGAAGAAAGGUAAAGGGACAUGCCCAUUAUCCAUCGAGUUUCGAACCUUGCGCUACUUGCCCUUGGGAAUUUCUCGGUUAUGAAAAAAAGAGAAUGGAUUACAUCUUUUCAAAAAAAAGGUAGUGCGUUUUUUUAUUCCUUAUCAAAACAAGGUAGUGCUAUUAUUAUCAAAAAGUAAAAUUUUGAAUCAUCCAAAAUAAAUCAACAUAUGUAGCACCUCAUUGCUUUGAAAUCAAGGUUGUCCAAUGUCACAUGCAGCUACGACAUGUGAUCUCUUGCAGAGUCUCCUUGUGUUAUCGCAUAGGUCCUAAAUUGAGUUGUGAAAAUGACUGAGGCAUGGGUGAUAAGAUGAAAUAUUUGUAGAUAUAUAUCAUGGGAUUUCUUGAGGCAGUAGAAAAGGAAGAAAUUGAUUAAAAUAUCAUUUGCCAGUUCAAGGACAGUGACAUUUUAAUAUGAAUGUAAAAAGUGUGUGUUUGUUUAAUAAAAGAAAAACACUAAGCAAAUAACUAUGUGUAUUGAUCACUUGCACAAAGAGUUAAUUCUAUUUUACUUUGAUAUAGUAAAACAAUAUUAGAAUAAUGUGUACUAGUAGAAGUAAAAGCACCGUGAUAUGUUCACAAUGCUUCUGACACAGAGGACAUAUAGAAGUCAACUCAACAUUUUUUUUUAAUUACGUAGGGAAAUGAGACCCUUGUAAAGUUGCUGCCAUGUGACCAGGAUGUCACGGGUUCAAGUCGUGGAAACAGCCUUUUGCAGAAAUGCAGAUUAAGGCUGUGUACAAUAGACCCUUGUAGUCCGGCCCUUCCCCGGACCCCCAUAGCGGGAGCUUAGUGCACCGGGCUGGCCACGUAGAAAAAUGGGAGGGUGAAGGAGAUAGUUAGGAUCGAAGCAUCGCCUAUUGUGAGGAAGACUGUGACCAUUACGACCAGUCUAAAGCCCUCGACAUCAUUCUAGCCUCUAAGUACCAAAAGUUCCUAUGGUCAAAAUUUGUACGAGCAGGUGAUCUUUCAGAUACUUUGUGCAUACAAGAGAAGGUGGAACUAAUUUUUUCAGAAAUAUUUGAUAAAUGAAACAAGGUAGCAUAAAUAUAAUAUGAUGAUAAGUUAAAGAAAACAACAUUAGAAGAGUUAUGUUUCUUUUAUACUCUUAUCAAUGAUAUAACAUUUGCAUUGUAGAAAGAAUUUUGCGUUAGCUUUGAAGAAGAUUACAACAUAACAUUGCUUCAAAGAGGAUUAUAGGUUGUCAAAUAAAGGAACCCAUUCAAAAAAAAAAGAGAAAGUAGUCAGAGAAGUAAAUUUCUGAAGUGUCCGUUCAACUUCUAUCUUUUCCUGAAAUACUUCAGUUGAGUGCAAUGGAAGGUUCGCUAUUUUCUUACAUUUGAUUAGUUUUAAUGAUCUUUCAUGAAAUAUCAUCCAUUUUUUCUUUAUUAUGGCGGUGGCCACGCCUGCUUGCAUGCACCUCGGCUAGUCCACUUGUACCUGCUAUCUCCCAUUAACACAAGUAUCGGGUAACUCUGUCCACCAAGAUUUGGACAAGGUUUACAUAGAUAGGACGAAAUCACCCAGCAGUCUUUUGCCUCUCCUGGGAUUUUUUCCAGAAAUAUCAUCCUUAGUUUUAAGAUUCCAGUUUUCUUUGUAAAUAGGAAGUUACAUCCCGGAGCUUAGCCAUGUUAUCUUAUUCUUAUGAUGGGUUUAGUUAACAAGAUAAUCUAGAAAUGGAGUUGGUCCAAUUUGUUAUACUGUAAUAAUGCCUUGAUGGUAUAAGGUAUAUCUCACCAUUUUAGGAUGAUAUGUCAAAAAUGACAAUUUCAUGUACAACUACAUUAUGUUUGUUUAGGGUUCAAAGAGAAAGGGAAGCAAAGGGACAAAUAAAGGAAGUGCAAGAGUCAUUCCCCUUGUUAAUCUAGGAAUGGCAAGGCGAUUGAAGUAAAUGAUCAAGUUUUGAACCCUCGAAAAUUGAAUAGGAGGAAGUAAAUCUCAUCCUCUGUUAUACGUACCCUUUACCAAACAAUGUUAUGAGAACAAAUGACUCAAUGAAAAUGUUAAAUUCAGUCCCUCUCCCUUCCUCAAAUGGUAUUAGAGAUCAGUCUGGUCAUGUAGAAGACACAUGCAUGGAAUAUGGUGGGCAAUAUCAUGCCAUCUUAGAACUCAAUAGUACUUCAGAACUAAUUGCUGCAUAUCCCACUCUCUCUAGUGCCUAGAAACACUAACUGAUGCUGCAUUUUUUAGGGCCACGAUUGACUUUAAUCAGAGACAACUGAAAGUGAUUAAAAACCCUAGUGUUCACUUCUGGCUGAAUACUUUUGUUUCUUGGUAAAUUAUCAGUUAUCUGCUUCCUAGAUAUAUUUUUCUUUGCUGGUCGUCAGCCCAACCUCCUGAAUUAUAUGCUAGUCAAUCUCUAUCACUAUACUCCCUCCCCAAAAAAUUUAGUUCUUUAUUUACUUUUCAUAGUCAACUGACUCGUUUUUGUCUCUAAUUGGGCGUGGAUUGAUUCACUUGUUGAAGACAACAUGUAGAUAUUUAGAGACUACAUGAAAAGAAUACUACAAAUUGAAAUGCUUUCAUUUCAAUUGACAGAAAUGUCAUUUAGAAAUCUUAGUCAAAGAUAUUUCUUCUUUGAAAGAAUAAAAUUGGAAUAAAUUCUUUUGAUGGAAGUAUUGUCGUGCAAACCAAAUAAUAGCUCUUUUUUAACUGAAACUGUGGCAAUGACAUGCUUGUUUCAAGAUGAUCAAUGUAAAAUCUCGUAACUUAUGCUAACCGUGUAAUCUAAGCUUGUGUGGCCGAGAUGACAUACUGUAGCUGAAGCGUUUCAUUUCAAUUUUCAGUUUGUGGAGGCAUUCUCUCUAUGAAACAAAAUAUAUUUUGUUGUGCUAUUGUUUUCUCUUCUAACUUCACUUUGAUAAUUACGAUAUGUCCUUUUAGACAUGUAAGGUGCUUAAUUGUAUUCAAAUUUAAGCCUACCUUACCUCUUCAAAGAGAAGAAAAAAGUUGUACUCAAAGUUGAAGUUUAGACGGCUAGUUCCAUUCUUGGGGCGACUCCUGUCCAUUUAGCUAUAUAUGUUGCUUUUCAAAUUUCCUAUUUUUUUUUGUAUUGUGAUAGAGCAUAGGAUUACGACCUCUACGCCUAACACUGAAGGAGAGUAUUAUUUUAGAUGCAUGAUUCCAUUUCAGGGUGGAUUCUGAGGUUUAAGUUCAUGCAUAAAUUUCACAAGUUUGUCUUGCUUUCUCUUGUCUGUUUUAUCCCGUCUCUUAGAUUCUGAAACAAAGGUGAUAUUAAAAAAAGAAGUCAACACUGGACGACUUACCCCCUCCUCUCCCUUCCUCGGUUCCUCCCUUGUUUCUCAAUCUCUUUGCAUUAGCAUGAACAUAGUCUAAAGACUUUUGUUGAAGAAUUCUCUAAUCUGGUGUAUCGAUUGCUAAGUCAACGAUGCCUCAAUCCCAAAUUAGUUGGGAUUGGAUCUAUGAAUCCUCUCUAUCCAUUUCACUCUAUUCAGGUCCAUUUCAUUCGUAUACAAUUUAUAAAGAUUAAAUUUUCUGUUGUCUUAUUAGAAUGGCUGAGAUAUUGCAUGGUAAUCAUUGUCCUCUUGGUAUCUCAUGCAAAUACCUUUUUGCAGGCAUCAGUCAACAUAAUUGUCGGUUCGCAUGUUUGGGUGGAAGACCCUAAAUUGGCAUGGUCAGAUGGAGAAGUUAUCAAAAUACACGGUCAAGAUGUUCAUGUUAAAACCUCAAAUGGGAAAGAAGUGAGUAUUUGGUUUUAUAACAGCUAUAUUUAUUCAAGGGUUAUACUUUGUAUCAGUUUGAAGGGAAAAUCAAUUAAUGUGCUUAUAUUUUCUACUCUUCUUAAUGGAUUUGGCCAGACCUCACUAGUGCAAUCAAUAUUUUGUAGUAUUCAGUACUCGGUUCUUGUAUUAUAUUUAGGGAGGAAUAUUUCCUGCCUAUUGUUUCCUUUUACUAGAGGUACUUUAUAAAAUAUGACGUGCUACUGUCGUAUGUGUGCAUAUUUGUAUGUACUAUGCAUGCAUGCAAUAUAUCCAAGGAUGCCCUAUCUAACAUAUUAAACCCUUUCUUAGAAUGAACUGUGACCAAUAUAUGUUACUGAGAACUAACACCUUCCCAGUUUUAGCUAUGCAAACAAUAUGUUAAAUUCUUCAAGAGGUCUAGGAAUGCACGAGUUUAACCCCUGCGGCCGUUCACCAUAAUGACUGUGAAAUGCUUCAUGUGAGAAAUUUGAGGCAGGUCUAUGGUAGAAGUUUGCCUUUUUGACUAUCAUCAUGAAUCAAGUUACUUACAUGUCCCGAGAUGAGUUGACCCUUCUUUACUUUCUUAUAAUCCUUUAUUUGUUAUGAUCCAACUGUAAAUGACUUCGAAAAUAUAUAUAGGGUGCCAAAGCUGAUGAACAACUUUUCAUAUUGAUCUUGUGGCUUUCUUUGCAUAUAGUCAUAUACACCACGAAUAUCUCUCUGAAUAUUAUUGCUUGUUGCUUGAUGCAUUAGUUCUGGUUUCCAUGAACGUUUGCAUGUCACCUCCUUUGUGCACCCAAAGUAUCAUUGUUCUCUAAUUUAAGUUGGUGUAAAUUUUUUAAUUUUGAUUUUCUAUCGUCGUAUUGGCUUCCGGGGAAUGUUUGGUUCAUCUAGACUGUAACUUUGUUAAUCAUGUUCUUCUUGUAGCGUCGAGUUUUAUGUUGUACUUCCUCUAGUCGUGCAGUCGUUAACUUAUUCAAAACGCGAAUAUCUUUUCUCGAGGACCAUUUCAGAUCACUGCAGUCUGCCGGUCCCUGAAGCUUAAACAUUUUCAUUUCAACCAGCAAAUCAGUUCUUGCAUUUUUUUUUUGGUUGUACAUCUAAGGUUGUAAUAGUUUCGAACUAUUGAUCUCAGGUUGUUGCAAAUAUCACUAAAGUGUUCCCUAAAGAUACCGAGGCCCCUCCUGGAGGUGUAGAUGAUAUGACCAAGCUUUCCUAUUUGCAUGAACCUGGAGUUCUGCAAAACCUGGCUACUAGAUAUGAGCUCAAUGAAAUUUAUGUAAGAGAUCUGAUUUUCCUUGUAAUCAUGCAAAUUGAUCGUUGAUACCCACUAGUUGUAUUUCAUGAAUUUAUCAUCCUUCGGAGAAAGUUUUCUUAGUUUUUUUUUAUCUUUUGUCCAGACGUACACUGGAAACAUAUUGAUUGCAGUAAACCCUUUCCAAAGAUUGCCUCAUCUGUAUGACACUCACAUGAUGGAACAAUAUAAAGGAGCAGCAUUUGGGGAGCUGAGUCCGCAUGUUUUUGCAGUUGCAGAUGUUGCAUAUAGGUUGAGUUCUUUUCUGACGUGUGUUCCUCUUUUAUUGCUUUGGCAUGAUAUCUCACAUUUAUUUAUUCUCAUUUUGGUUUCAGGGCAAUGAUCAACGAGGGAAAAAGCAAUUCAAUUUUGGUUAGUGGAGAAAGUGGUGCUGGUAAGACUGAAACUACCAAGAUGCUUAUGCGUUAUCUUGCAUAUCUUGGGGGUCGGUCAGGUGUCGAAGGUCGAACUGUAGAACAACAAGUUCUAGAAGUAAGAGUGACUUUUCAAUUUAAUUUAUAUCUACCAUUUGUAGUUUCUGACGAAACUGGGCUUAGUCUAUCAAAUUACUGUCUAAAAUUCAUGUUAUUGUUGACACACAGUCCAAUCCCGUUCUUGAAGCAUUUGGAAAUGCCAAAACUGUGAGAAACAACAACUCAAGGUUAGCAACUUCUGUAAUUGAAGCCACAGUAGAUGUUAAUUGUUUCAGCAAUUUUGUUAAUGGUUUCGAAAUGUGACUGAUCCUUUGUCGUGAUGUAAAUGGUGUAAUCCUUUCAGUCGUUUUGGUAAAUUUGUCGAGAUACAAUUUGAUAAGAGUGGGAGAAUAUCUGGGGCAGCUAUACGAACUUACCUUCUGGAGAGAUCUCGUGUCUGCCAAAUCUCAAAUCCUGAGAGAAACUACCACUGUUUUUAUCUUCUUUGUGCUGCUCCAGCUGAGGUAUCUAUGUUUGUUUUCUUGUUUUGUUUUUGAUUGUCUUUAACUGUUUAGCUGAUCUAAUGUUAACGACGCACGUAAUUAUGAUAUUCUUUCGCUUUGCAGGAGAUAGAGAGAUAUAAACUAGGGAACCCAAAAUCAUUUCACUAUCUUAAUCAGUCCAAAUGUUACGCAUUGGAUGGAGUAAAUGAUGCUGAUGAAUAUCUUGCAACAAGAAGGGCUAUGGAUAUAGUGGGAAUCAGUGAGGAAGAGCAGGUUAGUUUUCCUCCUGACUAAUUUGUAAAGCGGAUAACAUGAAUAUUACUAAUGCGUUCAAAAAUUUGUUCAGGAUGCAAUUUUCAGGGUGGUUGCCGCAAUUCUUCAUCUUGGUAAUGUCGAAUUUGCAAAAGGUGAGGAGAUUGACUCUUCUGUGAUUAAGGAUGAGCAGUCUCGGUUUCAUCUCAAUAUGACGGCAGAGUUGCUCAAGUAGGUCUAUUUUCUACUUUUGAACUUGAAUGCAUGUUUUUAUUUUGGAUCUGUUAAUUCUUCUGGAUCUUAUGACUAAUAUUGAUAGGUGUGAUGCCAAGAGCUUGGAAGAUGCACUAAUUACACGUGUAAUGGUCACACCUGAGGAAGUUAUUACGAGGACUCUUGAUCCAGAAGCUGCUCUGGGUAGCAGGGAUGCUUUGGCUAAAACCGUUUAUUCUCGCCUUUUUGACUGGUAAGCAAGUCAAAUACCUGAUGUUACUGUCACUUUUACUGUCAUAAGACAUGUAUAGACACGUAUACAUAUACUGCUUUGGUUUUCCAUAUUUUUAUCUUCUUUUGUUUCUUAAAGAAUUCGUAUAUCGACUCCAGGAUUGUGGAAAAGAUAAACAUCUCCAUCGGCCAGGAUCCAAACUCCAAGUCCAUAAUCGGAGUUCUUGAUAUUUAUGGGUUUGAGAGUUUUAAAACCAACAGGUAACGUUUCAGUAUGGUAUAUCCUCUGCUGCUGCUUACUUGAAACCUUGGUGCCUAUCUAACAUUAUCCCCGGGUGAAACAGUUUUGAGCAGUUCUGCAUCAAUUUUACAAAUGAAAAGUUGCAACAACAUUUUAACCAGGUUAUAUCUCAUUCUUGCAUUUUAAAAGCUAUUUUCUUAUUUUUUUCUAUCUGUUAAGGCUAUAUGAUUAUAAUGGUAAUGCGUUUGCACCAGCACCUCUUUGCUUAUGAGGUUGUCUUGGUUUUUUAAUGUUAUUCCAUCUUAUGAUUUCAGCACGUGUUCAAGAUGGAACAAGAAGAAUAUGAAAAAGAAAAGAUUAACUGGAGCUACAUAGAGUUUGUUGACAACCAAGACGUGCUGGAUCUGAUCGAAAAGGUCUGCAACCGCUUGAUUCAUUGUUUAUUGAUGCUUUUUUUUCUUCUUUCGUUUGUCUGGAACAAAGUAACUUGUCAUGUGAUUCUAUAGUAUGUUAUUAGUUCUAGACUUCUAGCCCGUCUUUUGGUAACUUCAAAUCGUAACAGCUGAAGUUGAAAACUUGCAGAAACCUGGAGGAAUUAUCGCUCUGUUAGAUGAAGCCUGGUAAGCGUGCUUGAUUUUCUUAGUCAUCAAUUACUUCAGAUAUCUUAUGUAAUUUAUUUUUCUGUUUUUUGUUCUCCAGCUUAUGAUAUAAUUUAUGUUCAUAUAACUGGUCCUUGCAGUAUGUUUCCUAAAUCUACUCAUGAAACAUUUGCUCAGAAGUUGUACCAGACAUUCACUAAAAACAAGCGUUUCAUCAAACCUAAACUUUCACGGACGAAUUUUACGAUAUCUCAUUACGCUGGAGAGGUGAUGACUAGUUCGUCUUUUUGGAAAUAUCUGUACUUUCAUCUUUCCAAUGUAAUGCUAAAGCGUCCUAGAUGAUAUGCAGGUGACAUAUCAAGCGGAUCUGUUUCUGGAUAAGAAUAAAGAUUAUGUGGUUGCAGAACAUCAGGUUCUGUUAACGGCCUCAAAGUGUCCUUUUGUGGUGGGUUUGUUUCCUCCUCUACCUGAAGAAUCAUCAAAAUCGUCCAAAUUCUCCUCCAUUGGGUCACGUUUCAAGGUUAAUUCAUUUUUCUCCAUCAAGUAUUUUGGCUAAUAUAGAUUUUAGAAACAAUUAAAAAGCUUGUGUGUCUCACCGCUAGAAAAAUCUCUCUUCUUGCCCUUUAUUAAGCUUAAUUAGAUGUAUGGAUUUCUUAUCUAGGUUUCCUGUUCUGCGAGUUUCCUUUCUCUCUGACUGACGAGUAUGCUUACUUUAUUGAUGGCUUUAAGUAACAAAUGGCUGAUCCAUGUUGACCCUGUAAAAUCAAAAACUAAUUUGACAGAACUGCCUAGCGUAUAAGCAAGACUUAUAUUUUGGCAAACAUUUCAGUCAUGAAUAAGGUUCUUGAGGAUGACAACAACAACAACAAACCCAGUGUAUUCCCACAAGUGGGGUUCUUGAGGAUGAAAAUAACUAAUGUAUGUUUAUGUCUAAGAGAAGCUACUUAUAAAAAAAUGUCUAAGAGAAGCUUUUGCUUUUGGUUUUAUUGUGAACUAGGAGCUUCAGAUAUGUGCAGGAAUCAUGUGGAAUUACAGUGUAAAUUGUGCUUUACCGCGGAAUUUCUGACGUUUUUGCCGUCCAUUCUUAUUCAAUUGUAUGCCUAGUACUUCCUAUUAGAGUAAGUACUAGGUCCAUACAUCAUUUGAUUGAUACUCAUAUGCUACCUUUUACCGUAGCACAUUGUGGUUUUUCAUGCUUGGACACCUCCAUCUCCACCUCUUUUCCCGCAAUAUUCCCUUUGUUAUCUCCAAACGAUUCAUGUUUCUUCUAUGGUGUUGUGUUAUAGUGCUUCUGUAUUUGUUUUGUUGUUUUCUCCCUGUGUCCCUGUUCUAGCAAAAUUGAUUCAUUAGAGUAUGUGGAAUUGCAGUAUAUAUGUUUUAUAAAAAUAGUUUUCAGUCUUCUGAAGCCUUUUCUUACAUGAAUGCAGCUACAACUGCAAUCUUUAAUGGAAACAUUAAGUUCAACAGAGCCUCACUACAUCAGAUGCGUGAAGCCUAAUAAUGUCCUUAAGCCUUGUAUUUUCGAGAAUGUGAACGUGAUCCAGCAAUUGCGAUGUGGUGUAAGUGUCUACUGAUGCUUCAUCAUUGUGCAUGCAAAUGUAAUGGAUUCAUUACUUCUUCUUGCCCUUACCUAAGUUCUUUUUAUUCUAGGGUGUUUUAGAAGCUAUUAGAAUCAGCUGUGCUGGAUAUCCCACUAGACGUACAUUUUAUGAGUUUCUUCUUAGAUUUGGUGUUCUGGCUCCAGAAGUUUUAGCUGGAAGGUAAGUUUUCCAGACUCGUCUUGUGUCGAUUCUAACUGAAACUUCUGUUUUCAUUUGUGAAUUUCCUUCUUCCCCAUCAGUUUCUUUCUGAUUUUUCUGAUAUCUAUAAUAAUCCCUUUUCCAGCUAUGAUGACAAGGUUGCAUGCCAGAUGAUUCUAGACAAAAUGGGACUUAUGGGCUAUCAGGUAAAUUUUGGAUAUCGUGCUAAACCAGAUGUGCUCAUCCUCCAACUAGAGUAGGUUUUUCAUUGGAUUGCUAAGAGAAUAUCUAGGCUAGAGAAGUAAUAGACAAGUUCUUUAUAUUGUUCAUGGGCAUCAUGAAAUGUGCAGAGACAUUUCGAUGUCUUUACAUUAACUGAUGCCUGUCUUUACAGAUAGGAAAGACAAAGGUCUUUUUGCGGGCUGGACAGAUGGCUGAGCUCGACGCCAGAAGAGCUGAGGUACUUGGAAAUGCAGCAAAAAUUAUUCAAAGACAAAUCCGUACAUAUAUUACGCGAAAAGAAUUUGUUGUGUUGCGUCAUGCUGCUAUUCAGUUGCAAUCAUGUUGGCGAGGUAUGUUUCAAUAUCAGUCAUUUGGAAUCCUACAUUUCAGAUAGCUGAAACUUCUUUCAUCUGACUCCCUACUUCAUUGAGAAGCAUGUUUUUAGGACUCUACUUCAUUGAGAAGCAUGUUUUUAGGACUGGCGGCUGGCCUAUGGGAGAGUAGCUUUAGCUUCCCUUUACAUUUUGACUUUGAUUUUCUAAUAUUUAACAUACAUUUAACAUUUUUAUGGUGUUUUGAAACCAACUUUAAGGAAUUUAUAUGAUUAAUGAUGCUUGUAUAUUCACGCUGGUGCUUUAUUCAAGUUUCAAAAGCUUUUCCAAUGUGGUUCAAUUUACACAUUAUUAUUUACUCAUUUGUUUUUGUUAGUACUAAUAGUUUAUUGUUGAUGAGGGGGAAAACCUCGGAUAAAAGAAGUAUAAAAAAAUGUAGGGGACCUACACAAAAAUAUGGUUGUUUACUAAAGACACCAGCCAUCUAUACUAACAGGAAGCUCAUUGUGGGUGCACCAAAAGUUAAUCAAAAACAAAAGACACGCCCUAAUCGCAUAAAAUCCUAUUCCCACCUCUUCAAAAGCUCUAAUUUGGUAUAGUUGAUACAAAAACUGAGCUAGCAUUGAGAAAUCAACUGGUUUCAAGAGUUCUCUUGGCAAGGAAACUUUGAAAACAUAUGUCAAUUACUCCAAUUUAUUAUUAAAAGUGCAUAUUAGGUUUCAUCUUUACUCUGCUAGUCUUGUCUGAGGAAAAAUUGUUUACUCUCUUAUCAGCUGACAUGUCAAUGUUUUUUCUUGUAACUAUUAAUGACAUAGUAGUGCUAUCGUGAUUCCUAUGUCGUAAAUGUCAGCUAUGCUGUCCUGCAAACUGUAUGAACAGCUGAGACGUGAAGCAGCUGCUCUGAAGAUACAGAAGAACUUCAGAUGUUAUGUUGCACACACAGCGUAUACAACACUGCAUUCUUCUGCAAUUACCUUGCAAACAGGCAUGAGAGCAAUGGUUUCUCGCAAUGAAUUUAGAUACCGGAAGCACACCAAAGCUGCAAUUAAAAUACAGGUGCUAAUCUCUCUACUGCUAUUGUCACUCUUCUGAUCUUCCCUAUAAUUUAGUGAAGAAGUACAUGAAAUCUUGAAAUUUUCAAGAAAAAAAUAGCUGAUACAUGAUUUGCUUGCUAUCAUGCAGGCGCAUUUGCGUUGCCAUGCCGCUUAUUCUUAUUACAGGAGUCUUCAGAGAGCUGCCAUUAUCACUCAGUGUGGUUGGAGGCGACGGGUUGCCAAGAAGGAGCUUCGAAAUCUCAAAAUGGUUUGUUAUGUAUUUUUGUGAUUAUUUCUUUAGUAAUGUGGUCAUAUUGUUCAGAGAAGGAAGAUCAUUGUUAAUGAGAGAUAUAUGUAUGCAGGCUGCAAGGGAAACAGGUGCUCUCAAAGAAGCCAAGGACAAGCUCGAGAAGAAAGUGGAAGAACUUACAUGGCGGUUGCAAUUUGAGAAACGACUCAGGGUAAGUUUUUCUUAUUCUUUGCAAAGUUUCCUCUUGGUUCAUUUCCUUGACUAUGACACCAUUGUACUUUGGAUUACUGCAGACUGAGCUGGAGGAGGCUAAGGCCCAAGAAGUUGCAAAGCUACAGGAGGCACUGCAUGCAAUGCAAAAGCAAGUAGAAGAAGCAAAUGCUAAAGUAGUCCAAGAGCGGGAAGCGGCACGGAGAGCAAUUGAAGAAGCACCUCCAGUCAUCAAGGAGACUCCAGUUAUAGUUCAAGACACAGAAAAAAUAAAUGCCCUGUCAGCUGAAGUAGAGAAUUUGAAGGUAUGAUUUCCAAUAUCCCAAGGAUUAUAAUCUGCAUGGUUGGCUGCUAAACUUAGCAAAACAUGCCAACUAAUUGUUUUAUUUUCUUUGUGAGUGACUCAUUGACCAUGAUAAGUAAAUCCCCCUUGCAAAAAUCAUCCAAUUCUACAAGUAGUUUGCGUUGAGUCCCACACCGGUGGGAUGAGGAUUUCGUGGUCUCUUUAUAUGGUCAUGGGCAAUCCUCACUUCAUGAGCUAGCUUUUGAGGUUGGGUUAGGCCCAAGGUCCAUUUAUCAUGGUAUCAAAGCCAGACCCAUCUCAAUUUAUUAUUAGCGAUGUUGGAGCCCCCAUUUAUGUUGUCCACGCUCCGGUUCGCAGGCCUGGGCAUGGGGGGAUGUUGAGUCCCACAUCGGUGGGAUGAGGAUUUUCUGGUCUCUUUAUAUGGUCUGGGGCAAUCCUUAUCUUAUGAGCUAGCUUUUGGGGUUGAGUUAGGCCAAGGUCCAUUUAUCAUGUUGAAGUACGUGACCAUCUCAUCUAAAAGCUUAAGCUUCUAGAGAGAGCACACUUUAUUUACUUAAUUGUCUCUUCAACAACCCCCCUCAAUGCAAAUGCGCCUGCAGGAUAGCAAGCUACAAGGGGUUGAACCCUGUCAUAGAGAAACGCCUGGCAUUUAAGUGGAGAAGGGCAGGCCCUACAGUGCCCCUCUUGCCCUCGAGGAUUUCUCGGUUACCAAAAAAAGAGAAGAUAAUUGGAGCGCCGUUAUUUGAUCCAUCCUUCUGGAUAAACCCUGAAUCUCUUGAAUGUGCUUGACUUCAGUGUUGCAGAAUACUCAGAAUCAUAGUUUCUUCAAGUGUACUCCUAAAGUUCUUUUUCCACCUUGAAGUUCAUACUUAAGUCACUUCUGAGCUGGCCUAUGAGGAGGGAUUAACCUAAAAAUGAGUCCCAUUAAAACGUUGAUUUUAAAAUGUUCAUACUUUUAUAUAAAAGAACACAUAAAGAUUAUCUCUAUGUUUCUCUUGGUUGAAAAGUUUUUUCACGAAUCAUCCAGGCUUUGCUGGCGUCAGAAAAGAAAGCUACAGAAGAGGCUAGAGAUUCUUCCAGGGAUGCAGUGGCCAGAAAUUCAGAGCUGGCUAACAAACUAGAAGAUGCUGAGCGAAAAGUAGAUCAGCUUCAAGAUUCAGUGCAGAGGUUUGUAUAUGAAUAUUGACUGUGUCUGUGAGGGAAUCAACUUAUCCGCCUCCUGUUAUGGGUUGAUUGUCUUAGAGUGACCCUGAUAGUUAAGAGUCUUGUGAUCAAACAUACAGCAGAAGUUGCAUAGCUUUCCCACGGUUCUGGUCAUUUUUGGUUUCUGAUUGAACCUAAAAAUUAUUAUGAGCAUUGCUCUUACGAUUUCUGAGCUAUGAACAACCAACCUUUCAGUAUAAUAGUAGACUUGCAUCCUUAAUCAUCACGUUUUUGUGAACUGGGACUUCCCAGACAUGCACAAGUCUCUGUCGCUGUCUCUUUCAUCUACUCUUUCUUUGUUUCUUGUUUCAGGCUUGAAGAGAAGCUCUCCAAUAUGGAAUCGGAGAACCAAGUGCUUCGUCAACAAGCUUUGACCAUGUCACCAACUGGAAAAACUUUAUCUGCACGGCCAAAGACUACUAUUAUACAGGUGCACAAAUAGUUGCCGAUUCUUAUCUUAUUAGAGUUUAUUUGAGGGAGUAGAAUUUCUUAAUACCGUAGAUGCUAUAGAUAAUUACUCUCGAUGAAAUUUCAGAGGACUCCGGAGAAUGGAAAUGCUAUAAACGGAGAAUCGAAGGCUAAUUCUGUAAGUUCAAUGGUCAGACUGUUAUUUUCACUUUUGACGUGAAUUAAACAUAUGCCCUAUUUUAAUGUAUAUGCUUAUUAUAUGGCAUAGGAUAUGAGUCUUGCUGUAGCAAGUCCAAAGGAGCCUGCAUCUGAGGAGAAACCACAGAAGUCUCUAAAUGAAAAGCAGCAGGUGCGUGGUCUGCUUGCUUGCCCCAAAGAAUUACCAGAUCGCUUAUGCUUGUUAAUCAUAAUGUUACAGUUAAAUUCAGAAAUAUUUUUUGUACAAUUUUAUCUUUUUUACAGGAGAACCAAGACUUGCUGAUUAAGUGCAUUUCACAAGAUUUGGGCUUUUCUGGAGGCAAACCAAUUGCAGCUUGUCUCAUAUACAAAUGUCUGCUCCACUGGAGGUCCUUCGAAGUUGAAAGAACUAGUGUUUUUGACCGUAUAAUACAAACCAUUGCUUCAGCCAUCGAGGUAGAAAGCUUAUUACUUUGGUAAUGUUGUACCAUUCAAGUUUUCUCUGACUUUGUGUUUAUAAAUCUAAGACAAUUAAUUUCUGAAACUUCUUCAUUAAAGGUCCCAGAUAAUAAUGAUGUAUUAGCAUACUGGUUAUGCAAUACGUCCACAUUAUUGAUGCUGCUUCAACAAACACUUAAAGCUAGCGGGGCUGCUAGUUUGACUCCGCAGAGGCGGAGAACCAGUUCAGCUUCUUUGUUUGGGAGGAUGUCCCAAGUAUGAGCUCUGUGAUUUAUAUUAAGUUCUUCAGUUUCAGCCAUUUGCCCAAUUUAUAAGUCAUGUCUUAGUUAUUUUUGUCCUCUGCUACCUCUAAUAUUUAUGUAGGGCUUACGAGGUUCUCCCCAGAGUGCUGGACUUUCAGUUCUCAAUGGGCGUAUGCUUGGGAGAUUGGAUGACUUACGUCAUGUUGAGGCCAAAUAUCCUGCACUGCUGUUCAAGCAGCAGCUCACUGCCUUUUUGGAGAAAAUAUAUGGAAUGAUAAGAGACAAUCUGAAGAAAGAGAUCUCCCCAUUGCUUGGGCUAUGUAUUCAGGUACAUUAUUUUGUAUGUGCUACUUAUGCCACAAGUCCAAGCAAGCUUAUGAAAUAGAAUGUUUACUGCUCGAUGUGUAGUUUCAGCAAGUCCCUACGCUUAAGGUAGUAUGAUGUGAUAAACUGUGGAAGUUUUAGGACUUGGAUUGGUUGAUGCAUUGUACCACUGAGAAGUUCUCUGAUGCUUGAACCAGUCAAGUGUUAAAGCAACAAAAUCUUACAGAUUGAUUGUCACUUAAGAAAGUUAAUGUGUUGUAAAUUAUGCAGCACACGAGCUCUUGAAUGUCUCUGCACGGCAGAGUUAUUAGUUUCUAAUAUCUAUUAAAAUAAUAAAAUCACUAAAGUAAUAAAUCAGACAAAUCCCCAAUCAUCAGUAGAGCUCCCGAGAAUGGCUAGUGAGGAUACUUGUCUUCAAGCCUAGGGUGUUGGAACAAGUGGAUCUUUCCAGGUUUAGUACUAUGCCUUGAAGCUGAAAAUUUAUAUAAAGGCACCACUUUUCUCUUUGGGUCAUUGUGUUACCUAUGUUUAUUAUGUUCUCUCCCAAUGUGAGAAUAUUUUGCUGCCGAGAGAAAGAGGGAAGGAGUUAAUUUGUAGGAACAUUAUCUGCAUCAUGUCUGCAGGCACCGAGAACAUCUCGUGCAAGUUUAGUCAAAGGAAGAUCCCAAGCUAAUGCUGCUGCCCAGCAAGCUCUAUUUGCUCAUUGGCAAAGCAUUGUGAAAAGUUUGAACAACUACUUGAUGAUGAUGAAAGCAAACUAUGUAAGUUAAAAAUUGGAGAGCUAUAUAAUAGCAAUAGUCAUUUUGUCUCCCUGAUGUUUAUGUGUUUCCAUUGCUCCACCCAUGUAGGCUCCUCCUUUCUUGGUUCGGAAGGUUUUCACUCAAAUAUUCUCCUUUAUCAAUGUUCAACUUUUCAACAGGUAACUACAGGCCUUUAAGGACUGUAAAAUCUGUGUGCAUUCUGUACGUUAAGUAUAUUUUAUUUGGCACAUUGGCACCUUCUUAUGUAUCUGUGUUUUAACUUUCUCUACAAACAGUCUCCUUUUGCGGCGGGAGUGUUGCUCGUUCAGUAAUGGAGAGUUUGUGAAAGCUGGGUUGGCUGAAUUGGAACAGUGGUGCUGCUAUGCAACUGAAGAAGUAAGCAUGUUCCACUGUAUCUUUUCAAUUCCUAUCCAGUAUCUUACUUCUGUAUUUUCAUGUCCAGUAUGUAGGCUCAGCAUGGGACGAGUUGAAGCACAUUAGACAAGCAGUUGGAUUCCUAGUAAGAACUAAUUUAGUGUCUUUGUGCAAAACGAACUUUCAUAUGAUCACGUGCCUUUAUCUGACUCUUUCUCCCCUCAAUUUCUUGCAGGUUAUACAUCAAAAGCCCAAAAAGACAUUGCAUGAGAUCACUAAUGAACUUUGUCCAGUAAGGAGACUUAGUUCUAUAUUUCUCUUCUGUUCUUGUUCCAGUUUGUUGUUCCUUAAAUAUGGUUGUUUCUUUUACUUCUCAGAAGAAAAAAAAUUCCUGUUUCUUUAUCGAANNNNNNNNNNNNNNNNNNNNNNNNNNNNNNNNNNNNNNNNNNNNNNNNNNNNNNNNNNNNNNNNNNNNNNNNNNNNNNNNNNNNNNNNNNNNNNNNNNNNNNNNNNNNNNNNNNNNNNNNNNNNNNNNNNNNNNNNNNNNNNNNNNNNNNNNNNNNNNNNNNNNNNNNNNNNNNNNNNNNNNNNNNNNNNNNNNNNNNNNNNNNNNNNNNNNNNNNNNNNNNNNNNNNNNNNNNNNNNNNNNNNNNNNNNNNNNNNNNNNNNNNNNNNNNNNNNNNNNNNNNNNNNNNNNNNNNNNNNNNNNNNNNNNNNNNNNNNNNNNNNNNNNNNNNNNNNNNNNNNNNNNNNNNNNNNNNNNNNNNNNNNNNNNNNNNNNNNNNNNNNNNNNNNNNNNNNNNNNNAACCGUCUCAGUUUGUUGUCCCGUUCAAUUUAUUCUUUUCUCCUCUCAUGCUUAACUUGAGAGGUAUUUUUAUUAGGCCAAAAGGCUUUUAGUGUGAUCAUAUGCAGGUAUAGGCAGAUGCAUUGGUUUUUUGUUGCUUGCCUUUUUUUGAGUUGUAAAGUCACUAAAGUUGUCAGUCAGUUUUAGGUUCUUAUUUGCUGUAGUGUUUAGCAAAGUGCAGUUUAAGGUUGUGUUGUAUAUGAACUAUGAAGUGUUAAAAUUGUCAACGCAGUUUGUGAUUCUUUUCUUCCCAUUGUUGAACUGCAAAAUCGGUAGAUCAGUUGAACUUAUAAUACAACAACAACGACCCAGUAUAAUCCCACAAGUGGGGUCUGGGAGGGUAAUAUGUACGCAGACCUUACCCCUACCCCACAGGGUAGAGAGGCUGUUUUCAGGAGACCCUCGGCUCAAAAAAGCAACAGGAGAUAUAUUAGUACCAUAAAAAUGUAUAAUAAAAUAAAAUAUGAAAUACGAAAUAGAUGGCUGGUAUAGUAAAACUAGCAGGUAAAGCCCUGCAUCAAUAGACGACCAAUGCCAUUUUUAGUCUAACUCCUAACUAGCUAGUCUCACUCUAUCGUGCUGUAGAUCAGUUGAACUUAUAAUAUGACUGAUAAAUAGGGAGCUUAGUUAGAAAAUCAGCAGAUCAUAUAUAAGGCCCUAUUUCUGUUAUAUGUUUUGGCUGCACAAGUAGAUCAUAUUUCAUUACUUAAAAGUAGGGUAUUUGGUUGUUGUUGAAUAAAGUUCCAGCCUUGCUUAAUUAGAUCAAUAUACUUGUUGGAUAUAAUGGAAAAUAACUACUGCCUCUUUCGGUAAUCUCUAUUAGAUUGCACAAAAUUGUAAUACUUGGUAUACUCAUAAUAAAUGGUGUCCUUCGAGUUGAUUUUGAGAAUCAAAAUUAUGAUAAUAUAGCAUAAAAGGGCAGGACUGCAGGGGGGUAUUUAUAGCCUAUUCUAAUGCAAGUAUUAGUGGCGGCUUUUACGGCUCGAACUUGUGUCUUAUAGAUUAUAGUGAGAUAAUUUUACUGUUGCUCUAAGGCUCCCCUUCUAUGAUAAUAGACUAUCUAUGCUUAAAAUUGUAGUGUAUUAUUUUUUUUUUCACUUAUUUUUAAAAUUUUGAGGAAUUAAAAUUGGGAUAAAUUAAAAAAUAGCCAGAUUUACAAGUAGUCAUUUAAAAAUAGCCAUAGUUUCAAAAGUCAUGGAAAUUUAGCUACUUUUUAUGUAAAGAUAAAUCUGAACACUGUUCAAAAUCCUGAAAAUACUCCAGUAUAUUGUACUAGAGUUUGGAGUUUCAGUAUACUUUGCUGGAACUCCAGUAUAUUAUACUGGAGCCAGCAAAGUAUACCGGUCCAGCAUAUUGUUCAUAUACAUGUGCACCCAACUCCAGUAUAUUAUGUUGGACCGGUUUCUGUUGCAGCAAAGUAGUGACUAUUUUUCAAUGACUUGACAAAUGCUGGCUAUUUUUGAAUGACCAGUCCGAAAACUAGCUUGCCCGUGCUAUUUUAACAUUAAAGUUAGAUAUUAACAUAGGUCCUACUGAAAACCAAAAUCAAUUUGUAAUGACAAUAACUCAAAUGCAACAUAAAAUCUUUCAUUGUCAAGAGACGCAAAAAUAUGCAACCUCUAAGAAGAAGAAGGUAAUCGUAGGAGCAAAAGGGAAAUAAGAAAACAAUGGCAGACAAAUAGGAAGAGUAUAGCCUGGGAAAAUUCUUACUAAAAUUUUUACAACAAAAAAACAAGACUUCCAAAAUUUCUACUUCUUAACAAUAUAUUUGUGCAGAACAAUAAAUCAUUAAAACAACUGUCUCAAGUGUACGAAAACAAAGUACCAAAAAGAAAAACGAAGACAAUAAGUAACAAAGAAAUGGAGAAGGGAUAGAAAUAUUUUGUAGCUGAAACAGUGUUGGUAGCGUCUUGCAUCCUCAAAUCAAGUGGCUCCAAAUCUGACCGAAAAGGGAAAAUUUCAUCAACUUUAUGACAUUUAUCCAAUUUUACCACAUUAAAACUCUUAUCUUGCAACUUGUAGAAAAUAACCUCAUAAUAAUCCUUCAUCAAAGCAAUAUCUGCAUUAUAAAACCCAAUUGAACUUGGAUAGUUUGUCACUUUCUUUAAAAUUUCAAUGUCAACUUCCUUUUUCAACUCCCAACUUUGGUUUCCAUUCUCAAAAACCCAAAGCUCCAUCCCUUUUGGUGACAAACAAGUAAACCCCAACUUCCCUUUAUACUCCACAAGUUGGUUAUAUCCAUAAUCUUUAUACUCCAAUGCAGGUUUUGGAAGAGAAAAUCUUGAAAAAGCUUCUUCUCCAUUAUAGUUUAAAGCCAUCACUUGAUCAUCUUUUCUUAACUUAAAAUAAACCAAUCCACUUGCAUUAACUGCUGGAGCAAACAUGUCAAAAUACACUUCAGGAGGUAGUAAUAAAUCUUUUGCUUCCCUCCAAACCCAAGCUUCUGAAUCAAAAAUUUCACAAAGAUAGUAAUUCAACCCUAAUUUUCUAUAAUGAUGAUAAAGAGUCCGAGGCGACGACAACCUUAUGAUCUUGAACUGCAAAGGAUUUGAUCUCAGUACAAUCAGGGCGACUUUGAUAGUAGAAUAUCGUAUCCUAGGAUUAGGGAGUUUAAUCCAUUGUUUAGUACUAGGUUUACAUAUGUGGUAUCUAUACUCCUUUCUUGUGCUUCUUACACAACACAAAAUCCCUUGUUUUGACGAUGCUUCAAUCUUCAUAUCAAUGUCGUUCUUGAAAAUAUUUUCAGGCUUUAUAUUUUCAACAGGAAGAUAUAAUGGAGUUUCACCUGAACAUCCACUUAAUGAUAUGAACUCAGUAACGUACUUGGUUUUUGAUAAAGAUUGAACAAAAAAACCUGAAAUAGUUUUGCUUUUCUCACAAAACUGUGGCAUGAAAUUUGAUUCAAAAACCAUAUUAUGCCAUUCUUUGCUUACUGCUUUGCAUGUGUCUAAUGUUUUUAAGGAAUUAGUUCGAGUUAAUAUCUCGAAAAUUAUAUCGGAAGGAAACGGAGAAGAAGAAGAAGAAAAAGAAGAGAAAGCCAUUGAAUUGAUAGCUGAGAGGGAAGAAAAAGUCUGUAAACUCGACGGUGUAUUUUAGGUAUAAAAAAAGAAUAUUUAUAGGAGAGAGGUGACUGAAACUUUACGGUAAAGAAACAGGUAAACUUUUCCAAUACUAACUGGGAAACUAUUUUUUUUAAUUAACUUGUUUUGCUAAUGCUUUUCCCUAACGAUUAGGAGAAUAGUAAAAUUUCAACUUUGUUAAUUUGUUUAGGGGUAAUAAAUUUUGCAACUAAAGCUAAACACAAUUACGGAAAGUUUUUAAACACCUAAUAUUACUACUAAAUUUUGUGCCUAAAAUUAUACCUUUUGUAUACAGAUUAUAAUUAGUUACUAUUAUUUCUCCAGUCCUAUCAUUCUUUUUUUUGUAUGAAACGGACAGCUAAGAGGAGUAGUAAAAUUUCAUGUUUCGUAAAUUGAUUAGGGUAAUUAUUUUGUAACGAAACUAAUAAGGAACUUGAGAUACUAUAAAAUAUUGAAAGUUUUGAAACCUGUUAUUAUUUUACUACUAAAGUUUGUGUCUAAGCUUAUAGAUUUUUUAUAUUGACUAUCAUUGGGUACUAUUAUUUUCCCAAUUUUAUUAUUCGUUUUGUAUGAAAAAGACUUAAGGUGGUAAGUGGGCAAGAGUAUAAGAAUUAUUACUGCCACUACUCCAUUAUUUAAUUUCGUCGUAGUUGUUGUUGCUUAUAAUCAGUCACAAAUAUCAAAGGUUCUUUUUUUUUUUUAAAAAAAAUAAGACUUCGUAUCCAAUCAAAUAAUUUCAUAUAAAUUACGAAGAAUCACUAAUUUAACUCUACUUAAAACGUGGCUGCAAUUCUAUAUGAAUAUUGUCGCAAUUCAGGAUCUGAACCUUAUGAGUUUGAAUUUGAGGUUUUACUACAACUUAUUUGGCUUAAUGGGUUCAAAACUAUUAUUUUUUUAAUUAGUUAAAUUUUUUAUAUAUAUAACGUCCGUAUCAAACCUAUUAAUUUCGAAUGAACCCAUACCUAUAACUCUACAUCCGCCCCUUGAUGCAGGUGUAAAUAUAACCAUAGUUAGAGAGAAGUUCAGAAAUCAAAUUGUGGAAAUGUUUGUCCAUUUUCCUUUGUUCUACAUUGUGUUUCAUCUUUUUUUUUCCCCCUCUUUAUCCAGGAAUCAUUUUCGUCUUUUCCCAAUUAUACCCAUAUAUCCAAUCUUUGCAAUAUAUUUCUUCUAUAUAUACUCCUCUGAUUCCACGUAGUAUUCCAAAUUAUAAUACGUAACUUUCGCUCUAAUAAUAUAAAAUUAUCAAGAUGGAUAAAAUAGAAAUAUAUUGAUAUAUCCACAACCAAAUACAGAAAUAACAGAUUGAUAUUGAUUCUGAUAACAAAGGAAUUACACUGAAAAGUAACCAUAACUAAAGAUCGUAACAGAAAAAAAGGGGGUGGGAAGACAAAGCCACAGAGAGAAAUAGUCGAGGGAGAGAGACCAGAGAGAGGAAGUUUCUAUAAAAUUCAGCCUAACUCUAGAAUGCAAUGAACGCAUUAUUAUCUCCUGAUUUCCUUGGUCUCUGUCAUGCACAGCGCACAUGCUCUAUUUUCAGCCAAGUCCCAUAAAUGUGGAAUCACCACUAUUUUGAUUCAUAACAAUACCCCCGUACUCAAUAAGAACCUUGCCCUCAAGGUUCGAGUCGGGAAUUCCUUCUAUCCACAUUACAAUCAGAUCAUAUAAACUAGGGAAAAUGUCCAAAAUUGUCCCUCUACUAUCGUUUAUUGUUUACUUCUGUCACUCGUUAUACUUUUCAUCCAAUCUAGCCCCUACCGUUAAUCAAGUUUUAAAAAUUACCCCUAACCCUAACAUUUUGACACCGUGACAGCUGAACCCCUCAAUUUCAUCCAUGUCAGCUGUUAUGUCAUCGACCCCCCAAACUGAAACCCCACGGACCCAUUAAUGAAUCACACCUGAACAGAUUGAAACGAGUAUAAAUGAUUCAUAGUCGACCCCAAAUAAUUAGGGACCCAGACAUAGUUGAUUGAUUGAUUCGUAUAAAACUGAGCUCAACAUCAAAGUUAUUACUCUAAACUCAUUGAGAGCAUGACUUAGAGAUAAAAGAUUCGAUUGCUUUAAGAAUAAGCAGUAGAAAUUCAUGUUGAACAGUGAAAAUGAGAUACAAGUAGAAAUUCAUAUUGGUCAGCUGCCACGGUGUCAAAAUGCUAGGGUCAGGGGUAAUUUUUAAAACUUGAUUAAUGGUAAGGGCUAGAUUGGACGAAAAGUAUAACGGGCGGUAGAAGUAAACAAUAUACUAUAUUAGAGGGGCAAUUUUGGAUCUUUUCCCUAUAAACUAAGCCUUUCCUCUACUGCAUGUGUAAAAUCUAUGUUAGUAUAACUGGCAGCAACAAUGAACGUCCAUAAAGCUAGAUUUGUGUAUGAACUUUGACUUCCUUGAUUACCAUCUGAAGCAAUCACAAGAAUUCCAAGUCUGAGGCUUGAAGUGACCCUAUAGAAAUGGCAUCAUUGAAAUAAUCUGCUUGGGAAGCAUCAGGACCUAACAUAAUAAAACAAUCUCAUCUCUAAGUGCAUCAUUGAAUGCAGCCAACAAGUCUACAUUAUAGCAACCAGAACUCCAACAAGUUUUGUACAUCGCUAUUCUGGCUAGUGGCAAUAUAUAAUCAGACACUUUCCUGCUUAAGGUUUUCAAAAGUGAAUGUACCUCCAAUGCCCAAGCCUUCAUCUCAGAAUUUUUCACCUUUAGUAAGAGACCUUCAAGCCCAGCCACAUAAUCCACACCCUCAAUAUUAAAUGCUAUCACAAUGACAAAUGUUGCUAUUUGUUGCACAGUCUGUGGAUAAGAGCAUGGAAAAAUCAGAUACGGACACGUAAGUUCCAUGUCGCUCACAGUCUCAAAGCACGACAUUGCAACCAAACCUCUACUCCUUUUAGCAAUUUCGUCAAAUGAUGUAUGCGGCUCCGAUUUAGAGCUUAAAGGAACAUCAGGAAGAGUUGUACAACCAAAAUCAACCAUAAAAGCAUGGUUAGUGUCGAACCACUUCAAAAAUUUUAUGCCCAAGCCAUGGUUCUUGACAGUAAGACUUACUAUCUCUCCACUCCAAUUCCCUAAAAACACCUUGUUAGAAACAAAAAUAAUCACAGUUUCCACCAUUUCGUUGAACAAAUUGAGCUCACAACAUGUUAAACUAAGUACUAUACACCCAAUAACUUGUGUAGUGUUAGUCACAAUAGCUUCUGUUUCUUUCUUGGUCAUUUGAAGAGGCAGUGUUCGGGCAAAAAGAUCGGCACAUGAUCCAUAAAAAUAGAGUCAAAUACCAGGAGCAUCAUCCAAACAAAAACACAGUGGCAAAUAUCCUAAAUUUGUUUGUGGAACCAAAUUGUUUAUACCACUACCAAUACCUUCAGCAAGUCUAGAAAGCAUUGUCGAAAGCAACUCCCAACAAACCAUAUUGGCGAACACUGUAUAUAUUUUGAAUCGAAAUUUCAAAGGUGCAGUGCAAGAAUUCCACACAGUGAAUGUCACGAACUUAUCACGCUCAAAGUUGCUCGAGGCACCACAUAAUACACAAUCAUUUGUAACUCUAAGGAACGUGGUAAGCAAACUAGAGCCAGGAUCAAAUGGAAAGUCUAAUCCGAAUUGAUCAGGUGGAUAUCAAUGCAAUGGUAAGACAAGAUCAGUAUGACCAAGGUCACCUAAGUGACUAAAAUACCUCUGUUUAGAAGUUGGUCGUAAGUGCAAGCAGAAAGCAUACAAGACAUCACCUCCAAGUUUUGGGCUAGCCCAAGUCCAUAUCGACCAACAAUCAUGAUGAGGUUACUAGAAAUAGAGAAUGCAGAACCAAUAUAUAGUGGAGCCUUCUCUAUGAUUGCAAUAACAACUUUUUCUUAUCUAUACGCUUGUUCCACAAACAGGCCGGCGUCCCAUUUUGGUAGGAGUUUUGGGGCGCCUGAUAUCUUACCUACCCUUUCUUGAUGCUCUCUCAUUUGGUUGCGGAGUGUUUUAUUCUCGUUCUCUAUCUCCUCCAUUUUUCUAAGGAUGACAGCGAGGGCGUCGUUACCUGCAUCAUUAACAGAGUGAGUGAUACCUGUCGAGGGAGGCUGGAUAUGUUGCUCAUUGGUUGUUGUAACGACGUCGACUCGCACACCCUCUCUGCUCACCCUCUGAGGGGGUUUGUCAAUUCAGUGUAUUCGUUAGCCAUAUUUCUAGUAGCUUUUUACCGCUGGUGGUGCUUCUUCCGUAGUGGACGUAGAGGCUCCCUUUCCACAAGAAGCGGUAAUGCUGCCAUGAGGGGGUGAAUCACUUCGCCUAGGUGAGAUGCUUGGUGUCACGUUCUCCUCGUCCUCUUCGUGAGUUUCAUUGAUGGUGUUUAGGAGAUUAGUAGUAAGAUCUGCCACUGCUUUUAGUCUUUGUUCUCCAUUUCCUGCCAUGUUAGAUUAUGCAAGUAGGGGAAAAAAAGUCUUGUAUUUUGCUAUUGGUGUGUUUUUGUCGAUCUAGAAAGACAAUGAUUUUGACUAGGAAGUCCCCACAAAUGGCGCCAAUUUGUUUGACUAAAAAGUAUAACACUCUUUGUUAAACUAAUAAAAAAAUAACUAGAUGAGAGAUGAAUCCUAGUCAAGCAUAAUAAUUCUUAGAUCUAGCUAAGUGCUUAAAUGAUACCAUCUACUUAAUGCCCAUAAUUGGUUAUUAAGUUAUUAAAUGCACACUUUGGAGAAUAAACGAAGAAUGAAUGAUGAGCAAUAAAUAUGAAAGUGGCAAUAAAUAUAAAUAAGAACAAUUCACCCAAAUAUCGAAUGAUGUGGAAGAUUCUUCCUCCUGACAACAGAAUAUGGCAAUAAGUGAGAAAAUGAACAAUGCUUUCUUGGAUCUUGUGAGUGGAAAGGAAGAAUAAUUGAUAAAAUCAAUUACUGUGGAAAGGUAAACUUUUGUAUUUUCUCUCAAGAGUCAACUUCUUACAAUGGUUUCUCUCAAGAUGAAUCCCACUUGUCCCUUUUCCUCUCUCCCUUUCUAUUUAUAUGGGAUGUUUUCUAAAAACCCUAAAAAAGUACAACAAAGAGAAUAUUCAUGUCGUUGAUUCCAAGACUACACUAGCCGUUAUUCCUACUCUUCGCUACUCGACCUCGGCUUUAAUGGCUUGCUCAACGACUGCUCGUUGUUGGGCUUCGGUCGACUUCGGUUUGGCCGCCCAAAUCGAAACACGGUCUUCUCACUUAACAACCUUCCCACGCCCGAUUUCCUAAACCGGAUUUUGACCUAUACACGCGCAUAGCGGGAGCUUAGUACACCAGGCUGUCUUGAGGUGAUCUCGAGUUAGUUAACACAGGUCAUCACAAUUCACAGUACAUCACCAAAAUUAGACUGUGAACAAUAGAAUACAGCGAGAGAUAAAUUCAAAUUGCCGAAAAGAUAUCAAAUUCGACAGAUAAUUAAGUGAAAUACGAACCUGCGGGAGUUUUUCUCUUGCCGAAAAGGAAACUCAUGGCUGAUCGAUCAGUCCACAACAGCUCUUGAAUAUAAGUAUGAUUUAAAAGUUAUUCCUCUUCCUUCGCGGCAAAGUGGUUAUGGAAGACAAAUUGACACCAUAUAAUAAUGCUUCACUAUAAUUGGCAUUUUAUUGGCCAUAAAUUUAGGUUGGCACUAGUAGCCCAAAGUAUUGGCGUAAAAUAGCCAAAUCCCAAAAGACAUGAUUAUAUAACCCCUCAAAAAUAGGGGGGUUUUAAGAUUCUGUCCCCCCAAUCACACUUGCAUGAUGUAUCCCUUUAGAAGCGUAACUACUCAGUCGAUUAAAAUAAAAUCAAAUGCAGAAAUUAUAUUUCCUUCAAAAAUCAAAAUGGGUGCGAAGAUUUUUCAGCCAUAACGGAAAUUGAAUAUCAAAUCUCUGUAUUCUAAUGCAAUAAUUAGUUCUUUCUUUGGCAACAAUUUUCUUUAUUUUUGAAGUUCUAAGAAAUCGGUUGAAGAAGGGUUUCAAUCUCUGUAUAUAGAAUACAGAUUCAAUGGCUACUUUGCCGAUUUUGAUACAGUACGGGGGACACUGGGAUAGCAACAAUCGAUUUGUGGAUUACUCAGUUGAAAGCGUGGUGAUUAGUACUGAAACUAAAUUUAUUGAUUUUGUUUUUACAAUUUCAAAACAAUUGAUGGUUGACGCCACAAUUAAUUUGCUUGAAAUCCAGUAUAAAUGCGAUAAGGAUUCACCACCAAUGAUGAUCGACUAAUUCAGAUACUAAUGCGGGACUAAUUUGCAAAAAACCUUCCUCUGAUAUUGAGUCUUCGAGAGCCAGACUGGAAAUGAUAAUCCCUACGGAAAGAUACACAAUGAUAUGGGAUUGCAUGUAUAUAUCGAGUUGAAGAAGAAAAAUUAUGUGUUUAAUGAAUAUCCACUGUGUUUAACAAUGAAAAAGAAAGAUAUGCAUGCGUUUAAUCGAAACGAGGAAAAUUCAUCUGUAUGCCUACAAAUUGCCAAUACAUAUGAUAUACAUAACGGUGAUACACUACAAUUGAUUGCGUUUGAUAACGUAGAUGAUCCUAAAGUUGUAGAUUUUGAUGAAACUUUAAUAAUAGAUGAUCCUCUAAAUAAUAAUGUUUCGGAAGGCCAACUUUACAAGGUUAAGGAGACACUGAUGAUGGUGUUGAAAAACUAUGCUAUUCAGAAAAAAUUUCAUUUAAGGUUAAUCGAUCAAGUCCAUCAAGGUAUAAAUGUAUAUCUAACUUUAAUAAUUGUAGACAAUCGUCAGUUUUUAUUUUUACGACGCACGAUAAUUUAUCUUAAUUUAUUUACUAUUGCGUAAAUUUGGAUGUUAUUAGAUACUGUCUGGUAUGUGUCAAUGACCGUUGCACGUGGUUUUUCAAGUCUUCAUCGCUAAACAAGUCAAAAAUAUUUAAGGUUAGAAAAUUCAGUAAGGAUCACACAUGUUCGGCGAGGGAUAGAUUGUUUACACAACGUGUAGCUACUGCUCCUGUUAUUGGAAGAAUUAUUUGUGAUAAAUAUGUUGAUCCUAAAACAAUAUACACUGCAAAGGACAUAAUGAAAGACAUGAAAAAAUAUUAUGGUAUUGACUUAAGCUACUGGAGGGCAAAUAGAUCAACGCAAAAUGCCCUUCAGUUUUUAAGAGGAGACCCAAGUGAAUCGUAUGCAAAGCUGCCAAACUACUUAUAUAUGUUGAUGCAUUCCAAUUCCGGGUCAGUUGUGAGUUUGAGAAAAUCAGACGAAGGACACUUCAUGUAUGCCUUUGUUGCCUUAUAUGCAUCAAUAAAGGGAUGAAAAUUUUGCAAACAUAUUGUUGUGGUUGAUGGAAGCUUCCUUAAAGCAACGUACAGAGGAAUGCUACUCACAACUUGCUCGCAAGAUGCUGGAGGUUUGUUCUAGAAAUACUCUACUAUAUUUCAUUAACAUAUUCAUGUAUAUCCACGUAUCUAAUUGUAUAUCAGAGUAUACAUAUAUGUAUAAAAGUUCUGUGUAUAGCCAUUUAUACUUAUAUAGUUAUUUUAAAUUUGUGCAUAUCAAUUAACCAUCCAUAGGUAUUUAAUCUCCCCCCACCCCCACCCCAUCUAGCGCAUGUUAUUAUAAAAUAUUCCAUAUUGAUGUGUGCAUAUACUAUACACUUAAUAAAUAGAAUAUAUUUAUAAUAAGCACUAUGUUGAAGGAAUAUAAUUAAUAUAUUGUAAACAAGCAAGAUUUUUUCACUUGCAUAUGCAAUUGCCGAUAAGGAGAAUGAUGCCUCAUGGAGGUGGUUCUUCGAAAGGUUCAAAGAAGCGUUCGGUGAUAGAGAUGACAUGUGCAUUGUAUCGGACAGAAAUGAGAGCAUAGCGAAGGCAGCUUCAAUAGUGUAUCCUCAAGUUUCUCAUUGUAUUUGUAUAUGGCACCUACGGAAUAACAUAAAAGACAGAUAUAAGAGGAGCCAAGAAAGAGCUAAGAGAGAUAUUUUUUGCUACUGCAAGAGCAUAUACCAUUCAAGAGUUUAAUCACCAUAUGACAGAGAUGGAACAAAUAGAUGGAAGAGUGAAAGAUUACUUAUUUGAAAUUGGGUAUCACAGGUGGUAUAGAGCGCAUGCAAAAGUCAACAGGACAAUGACAAUGACUUCCAACAUUGCAAAAUCAUUAAAUUCAGCAACUAAAGAAGCGAGGGAACUUCCGAUACAGCAAUUAUUGGAAGAAAUUCGAAUGUUGAUCAACAGGUGGAACUACAAAAAUCGAAACACUGCACCGACAUUUACAAAGCUUACCUUUAAAUACAAUGCUAUACUUGAUGAAAAUCUUGAUGCACCACAGCAUAUGAUGGUAAGUUUAUAUUAUAUAACAUAUUCCUUAUUUCAACUUCAUGUUUAUCUACAGAAACACUCAAUAGGGUUACCCUUUUGGAUUUUUUACAUAAAGUUUAGACUAAUCUUGCUUUUCUACCAAAUAUAGGUAAGACCAUCAACUGAAAACUUGCAUUUAGUUAUUGACAAUGGGAGGUUGUUCAUCGUUUGCCUUAGGGAGAGGACAUGUAGUUGUAGAAGGUUCCAGCUAAAUCAAAUCCCUUGUCCGCAUGCGUGAGCGGUUUUGAGGUCAAAAAACUUAGAGGGUGAAGAUUAUUGCUCUAUGUACUACAGCAAUGAAUACAUAUUGAAAGCAUACGACAUUCCAAUUUAUCCUCUUCUAGAUAAAAGUACAUGGACAAUUCCAGUAGAGGUAUUAGAACAAGUUGUGUUGCCACCAGUCUGGAAUAAGAUGCCUGGAAGACCGAGGAAGGUGAGAUACAAAAAGGUUUCAAAAUCACAAGCUAAGAGACCAAAGAGUUCAUGCGGACAAUGUGGACGUGAGGGCCACAAUAGGAGAACAUGUAAAAAUAUACCGAAUCACCACUGGAUGACCUUAAAGAUAAAUGAUUUGUGUAUAUAUCAAGUUUAUUAAAUGAUUGAAGUAUUAUUCAUGUUAAGAAGUUAUUUAAAUUUUGCACUUGUGUAUGCAAGUUUUAAUUUAAUAGAGGUUGCAUUUUCGUAUGUAUAUCAAAAUGUAUCAUAUAACGUAGUUGGACAAGGUCAAUAUAUUAAGUUGUGUAAGACAUGUAUAUCAUCAUGUAUAUUAUUUCAUAGACAUGUAAACAGUAUUAUGGCACAUGAUCUUUAACAAUUUAAUCAUUUUAUAUGAAGUUGAAUUACUAUAUUGUCAUACUGAACACUGAAUUUUAUUGACAUGGAAAGAUUUAACGUUACUUAAGGAUAUACAAGUUUGGAUAUACAUCUAUAUGCUUGUUAUACAUACAAUUAUACAAUAAAAUGUAUACAUGUAUUUGUACAAUUAAGUUUCGAUAUAUAUGGGGAUAGAGUUAUACAAAAUACUGGUGUUGUUAGUUCAAGGAUAUACACAUCAGGAUAUACAUGUUAGUUCAAAUAAAUGUAAACAUGUAUUUGUACAAUUAGGUAUCGAUAUAUGGGAAUAGAGAUAUACACAAAACUAGAGUAGUUAGUUCACGGAUAUACAUAGUGGGAUAUACAUGUUAUCUCUAUUAAAUGUAUACAUGUAUUUAUACAACUAAGUAUUGAUAUACAAGGGGAUAGAAAUAUACAAAAUAGUGGUGUUGUUAGUUGAAGGAUAUACAGAACAUGAUAUACAUAUUAGCUAAACCAAAUGUAUACGUGUAUUUGACAAUUAAUUAUUGAUAUACAUGGGGAUAGAGAUGUACACAACACUGGUAUGGUUAGUUCACGUAUAUAAAUAUCAUGAUAUACAAGUUAACACACAUAAAUAUUUACAUAUAGUUGUACAAUUAAGUAUUGAUAUACAUGUGGAUAGAGAUAUACACAAUGCCUAGUGUGUUAGUUUACAUAUAUAUAGAACAAGAUAUAUACAUGUAGUUGUACAAUUAAGUAUUGAUAUACAUUGGGGUAUAGAUACACAAUACUGGUCGUAUUCCCCACUCUCAAUCAAAAAAACAUCCCGAUUACUUACAAAGGAUCUUUUACUAAUUGUGAAAAAUAAGAAGGUGUAUAUGAAGUACAAUAAUGAAAUCUUUAGAGCAUCAUUAUCUGACUGCCAUCUCUUUUCCAUAAAACAAUCAAUAAGAUCGUCAUUUGAUACUCUAUCAUGAUUGGGAAAGUAGGCUUCCUUGAGCCUAUUUGAUCCACUAUAAGUUCCCUCAUCGUUGACUUCACCAACACACCUUAGACCAAAUAUAAUUGCAAAUUCUCUAAUCCCAAAACACAGGGUACUAUGAUUGAUCUUGACGUAAAACUCAUCCUCACUAUCUUGAACCAACUCCCUUGAUAUUAAGAACCGUAUAACUUGAUUUUGUACAACAACAGGAGGCAAAUCGAGGAAAUAGCCAAAACAAGUUUUCCUAAACAUUUGAAUCUGCUCAUCCGUCAAUUUCAACUUUAACUCAUCAACAACCCCAACAUUGGUAUGUGAGCUCCAAUGAGAACAUGAUAAUUUUGUAUCCAGUGCGACAUAGAAAUUUCAUUUCUACAUAAAAAAAUAUUAAUUAUACUAAGCCAUAUAUACAAAUGGUGAAUAUUAUUAAAUUGUUCUCAACUACACAUCUUCAGAAGAAUAGUUCUAUACAUUUUCAUUAAUCUCACAACUGAUGCAUGUUAAAAGAAUUAAAUAUAAAAGAAAAUAUACUAAUACUAAAUAAAAAAGGUUCAAAUCAGAUAAAAUACGGGAUCCUAAGGAUUGGAAAUCAUCAAACCUAUGUCUGCACUGAGUUAGAAUUUAUUUAUUAGUAAUCAGACUACAUUUUUUUGACAAAUAAUUAUUUAUUUACUUGUUUAUUUCGUGUUACCACACCGGUUUAUUGUCUCAGUUACCAAAUAGAAGCUACUUUUGCCAAUGCUCUAUAACUACUAUAUUACAACACUAGCUCCUCCCAGAUUUCUCCCCGUGAAGCUAACAUAACAACAUAGUCGAAGAAUGAGUAGCACAAAAGAUUACACAGACUCAGAUUCUUACAUGUGAACUCCAUAAUUUGCAAGAGUUAUAGCACUGUUUGAGCGCAUUUAUAGGUAAGAUUCUCUUUUCUUUUCCUUUGAGAACCAUGGAAUUGUAGAAGCAGUGAGUUGGAGACGACAAAUAUUUAGCUCAAAGCCAUUACCACUUUUACAUAGCAUCAAGUGCAAAUAAUGAAUGCUUAUAGCUAAUGUAAAUGGUAAAUCGGAUAAAAUACAUUAAAUCAAUUAAGAUUAAAAAUACCUUCACAGGAAGUUUAUCACAUUGAACUUCCUCCGUGCUAACACGCUUUCUCUUUUUGGGUUUAAUAGCAAUAUUUUAUUGCAUACCAGACGCAUUUUCGAUGUUUUUUCCUUUGUCUUUUGUAUGCGAUGCUUCAACCCGUUUUUCCCUUUGAUUGUCCUUUCGAACGGCUAUUGCAUGUCGUGAUUUGCACCCCUUUAAGACCGUAUCUUCAAAACCAAAGUCAUAAUCAACAUGAAGAGAUGAAGAUUUGACCACAAUUGCUUUAGAUUUUGAUUUCUUACCAGUUGAGUUUUUACCCAUCUAUCAACUUGGCAAGAAUGUGAAUAUUAUCUUCCAAUUUCUACAAAAGGGACUUGAUUUAAAAAAAUAGUUAAGAAAAACAUUAAGAAGACACAAUAUAAAGUAUUAAUCGGAUAAAAAUGAAGAGAUUUGGGGGAUUUGAAAAAUUUAAAAUUUGGGGAAGAUAGAGGAGAAAAGCGUAAAAGAAGGAGAAAGGGGAGGAGAGAGGGGAAAGUGCUGAAGUUAUUUUUCAUUUUGAAUAACGAUAAAGUUAGUUAUGCUAUACCAAUUAAAACAAAUAAAAAUUUAAAGUAGGGGUAUAGGGUCACAAUAUCUAAAACUAGGACUUUUUUAUGCCAAUUUUCUUAAUAUGUUGUUAUGUCAUGCCAUUUUUUCGUUAUAGAAUCCGAAUGUAUUCUUCUGACUGACGGUACGGGAGAUGGGCUUUAGGUGGAUCCUGGACUAGGUUCCAAAUUAACGGGGCGAAAUGCAUUAGUAGCCACUUUUAAGCAUGAUAUUUAAAAUAUAUUCACUAUUGAUUAUGUCUUUAAGGAUUAACCAAUUCAUCCAAACUUCACGGCUAAGUAUCUUGAAUUUUUUAUCCUAAAUUUUUAAGCUAUUAAUUUUAAAUUUAGGACUUAGUAUCCUAAACUUUUGAGCUACUAAUUUGAAAUUUAGGAUUAAGUGUCCUACAUUUCUGAACAACUAAUUUAAAAUUCAAGACUACAUGUCCUGAAUUUCUGGACUACUAAUUUAAAAUUUAGGACAUAAGAUUCGAAUUUCUCGACGCAAUUUUCGAACUUUAGAAAACGAUGUCCUGAAGUUUGAACCUUGAGAUUUAAACUUUAUGACGUCGUAUCCUAAUGUUUGAGCGAAUUGACUAAUGUUUAAAUAUAUUAUAACUAUGAAUAUAUUUUAAAUAACAUGCUUAAAAGUGGCUAUUUGAUGUCAUUUCCACAAAUUAAUGCUUUUCAUGAGCCCAUUUGUGUCUCCUUGGGUGUAGCCUAUCUUUCACACAACUGAAGCCAAAAUGGGCUGAAAGAUUUUGGAACAUUUCUACCCAAGAGAGUCCAUGAAGCGGAAAUUACACUCGGGAUAAGCUAUUUUUUUGUGUCUCCUUGAUAAAGUUAUAUUUCUUGGAUUUAAGUUACAUACAUUAUUGGUGUUAAUUCCUUUUUACGUUAUAGUGUAGUUUAACUUACAUAGCAUAGUAUUAAUUACUAUGUUUAUUAUUAAUUAAUCUCUUGUUGGAAAAAGUGAUUAUGGAGAAUAGAAUUAGCAAAAUAUGAGGCAUGUCAAGGACAUUGUUCAUAAGGAUAUUCGCCCACAUAGUAAAGAAUAAAGUUAUUCGUAUCUCCCAAAAUUCAACAAAUUCAUCCAGUUAUAAAUUGAAAACAGAACAAACAGAAAAUUCUAGAAAGAAACUCAUCUUACAGGAAGGAUGAGAAAUAAAAAGGAGAGUUGGAAAAUUUAUAUUCUUAGUUCACCAAAAUACCAAGUAUAUAUGGGUGUUACUCCAAUAGCUAGUUAAUAGCUAGUUUGCUUCAUUAAAUAUGGAUUAAAUAAUUUACUAAAUAAUAAGUAGGUGUAAAAUAACAUUUCAAAAAAGAAAGUCUUUUCAAACCAGCAAUGGAUAUUUCCUUUUGAGAUACUACUAAUUUUUCCUAACAUCUCUCACAAAAAUUACUUAUACUUACUUAAACAUGUCUUAUUCUAUAUUUAUACUAUCAGUAUAUAGAACUUAAACUCAUUUUUUUUUAGUAAUUUCUUCCGGAUUCUUUUUCAAACAUAUAAUGAAGUGUGUUCUUUUUGGUUUCUCUUUUGUCGAAUGCCAUAAUAACAACUAGGGGCGGCGAACAGACAGGUCGGGUCAAAUAUGCAAUGGGUCAAAAAUGGGUAAUGUAAAAAUGGAUAAAUUAUUCAACCCGAACCAUUAUUAAUACAGAUAAAAAAAGGGUUAACCGGCGGAUAAUAUGGUUAUCCAUAUUAUCCAUGGCUUCUUGAAUAUGAUCACAUUUGGGUGAAUUCCUAUUCUCCCAAACUUGAGGAAUCCUCAAUUUGAGGUUUUACAAAUGUAAAAGUUAAACACAUUAGUUAUACAUUGGUUAUGCAUUUUCUAAGUGAAUAAUAUGAUUUUUAUCUAUAUUUGACCAACUUUAAAAAAAUUCAUUAUCCAACCAAUUUUCUGAUGGAUAAUAUGAAUGGAUAGUUGUUUUAUUUUAUCCAUUUUGCCACCACUAAAUUAACAGGUACUCACUAGUACUACACUUGCACCUUUCUCAAUCGGCCUUUUGUUUCAAAUAUCGUUUAACUAGAACAUUUGUAAUUACAAAAACCUAAUUUCUAAAGCGAGUGCUUUACCUUAUUUAAUGCAUUGUACCACCGCAUCUUAUUCGUUUCUUACAAAAUUUUGUAGACGACGCAAAAAUAUAGUACUCCUAUAUGUUAGAAAUUCUUUAACUUUCUUUCUCUCUCUGUGUGUAAAUAUAAUUUGAACCAAGUAAUAAAGUGGAUGCACUCACACCAACCUUUAACAAUGUAAUACAUAGUCGUUCAAUCUCUAUCAUACUUUGUAAAAUAUGACGUACUGAACUUUGUUUAGCUAUUUUAGUAGAGCAGCCUUUUGGCAAUGACAAAGCGCUUCGUAAGGAAAACCACCCUUCUUUAUUUUUCUCUUUGUGGGAAUUUGCAUUGCGAAAGCUGAGAAAUAAAGCAAAAAAAAGGGCAGUAGGUGUACAAUGCAUCCCGUAUUUAUAGGGUUCAGGAAAAAGCCGUAUAUUAGACGGUAUGAUAUAAAUAAUCUACCAUAAUAUAAGUAGUUGUGACUAUUUUGCAGCUCGAAUCUAUAAUUAUAUCGACAACUUUACCCUUGCUCUAAAAUUUUUCGCGAUAGUUAAAAGAAGGAGUGAAGAUUAAUAUAGUGGAACAGCAGUACAGACGAGCGCACGUGGGAACAUCCUGUGGUUAGUACAAAUAGAGACAAGCCAAGUGGUGCACGUGCGGUUCUGUCUCUGCAGAGCAGCAGCUCUCUCUUGUCUUUUUGGUGGCAUGCUAUAUAUUGCUGCACCUUCUUUAAUUUCUCCAACUCGAUUGUUCACGUGCAAGCCCCACCCCAUGCAUUUAUUCAGAGCCCGUUUGGAUUAGCUAAUUUGAAGUAGCUGAUAAACAUUAGGUGCUGAAAAGUACUUUUAAGUAUUGAAAAUAAUUUAAUAAAUAAGCAAUUAUGUGUUUGGAUACAAGUGCUGAAAUUGAUAAUAAAUUACUGCAGUAUUUGAUAAAAAAAAUGCUGAUAAACUCUUUUUCUAUUAAAAUGACUUAAAUAACCUUAGAAAUGUUUACACUUAUAAGGGCGUAAUUUCUUCAAAAUUUUAGAUUCCAGAUCGAUUCAAAUACAAAAUAUUCUAUUUGUCAAUUUAUUUUAAAUACAAUUGUGCUUAGAUAAGAUAAUUUUUAUGAUAAAUAUAAUUUAUUUUAUGAUAAGCAUAUAAUUAUAAGUUAUAAUAAUUAAUAAAUAUGUGUGUGUGUAUGUGUGUUUUGUUCUUAUUUGUAUAUGUAUAUGUUUUAAGAGUUGUUUAAUGGUUUGAUAAAUGGGGUAAGGAUUGUUCUAGUUAAAUUUUAAAGAAAUUAAGCCAAAAAUUAGCCCAAAUCAAUGGCCCAAUUCUAUUUGACCCGUUCUGGUGAAGCCUACUUGAGAGGUAAGCUAAACGACGUAAUUUUACGGUGAAACUACACCGUUUCAUUUAAUGACUUGGAGAUUCAAUUUCAGUCGUUGAUCAACCCUUGAUCUAAUGGUCCAUAUUUGAUCUCUCAAGAGGUAUAUAACCACUUAAAGAAUCAGAAAAUUGCCUCAUUUUCCCCUUAUUUCUCUUCUUCUCUCCCCCUUUCUUCUUCCUCUCUCUUUUCUUUCUCCUCCCAGCAGCUUCGCCCAGCGCCGCCCGCCGGAAUUCGUCACUGGCGACAGCCAACCUCCAAUCCACCCCAGAAUCUCACCAUCUCUUCCUCUCACUCCCCUCACCCCUAAUCCGAGCCCCAAAUCCUCAAAAACCUCUCUAAAUUCCGUGAAAUCGAAAUCGUAGAUAGCCGCCUCUUACUUCUUUCUUCGAUUUUCCGGCAAACCAGCCACUACAUACCCACAAAACCUAUAUAAACGCAUAGAUCUCAAAGAGACCUACACUUUCCUUACAUCCCCACUCAAAAAUAACACACCGCCGCCGGCCAGCAGCCUCCACUGCCAUUAAUCACCACCAAACGCAUCAACCUCUGUUUCUUUUCUAUUAUCGACUUAGAGGAGCUCGUUUCCUUCUAGUACGAUGCCAAACUUAUUUGUUUUGGCGUCUGCUAAGAGGAAACGUGCACUUCAAGGUCGGGCAGCCACCAUCCGUUGCCCCCGGCAUCCAUCUCAUCGGUCGAUUUGGCAUUGAAUCCCUCUGUAUAGUAAAACAUCAAUUUCCUUUCCCUAUUUUUAUUUUUUCUGAUUUUUUGCUUUUGUUUUAGUAUUAGUUCUAAGGUUUAAUUUCCAUUCAUGUUUCUGUUAUUUAUGUGCAAUGAGUAUUAGUUUUUAAUUACUUUUACUUUAUAAAUGUGAAUUUCAGUUCUUCGACCUAGCCGGUCGAGUAGUUCGUUAUUGUCUGUUAGUUCUGAUUUUUGGUUCUUCGACCUAGCCAGUUGACUAUUUUGUGUGGAUUUGUUAAGCUUGAACUUUCAGUUCUUCGACCUAGCCGGUCGACUAUUUUUUGUUUGUCCGUUAGUUCUAAUUUUUGGUUCUUCGACCUAGUCAACCGACUAUUUUGUAUAGAGUUAUUAAGUCUGAAUUUUCAGUUCUUCGACCUAGUCGGUCGAAUAGUUAAGUCUUUAUGUUAAUUUCAUGAAAAAACAAAAGAUUAGUUCAAUUAUUUAUAUAAUUAGUCGUAUAUUUAGUUGUUAUUAAUUGUGAUAGUUUUGCGAUGUUUGUUUAAUUUCUGUUUCAAGCAAUAGCUUGUGAAAUUCAGUUGUUGUUCCAUGUUAGUUUGCACAAAUCGAAUUUAUUCUAAUCUAGUUUAUCUGAAUACUUAGUUCGAUUGCAUUUGAGUCUUGUUUCUACUUUGCUAGUUCAUAUUUGGUUGGAGUUUGAGUGUAUAAGCUGAAUUUCAGUCAUGUAUAGAUAAAAACUGAAAACUUGAGUUUAAAGUAUGUGUUUGUUGGGUAUUUUACUGUUUAAACAUGCUGGAAAUGCAACUGCUCUACUUUGUAUCAAAAUUUGGUGAAAAGAUGACUGUUUUGACACACAAAAGUUAGUCCUUUUGGACAGAUUUUUGGUAAAUCAAAAUCUGUCCAAAAGGACUUAUUUUUCCUACUUAAAGAGGUCAUUCUUUCACACUAAACACACAGACUCUAUCUUAUAUUGAGAGAUCACCUCUCACACUCUAAAAAACACAUAUAUCUUUGAGAAAAAUCAACAGCUUAGUAUAGAUAGCAAGCUGAAAUUUCAUAUCUUUGUGAGUAUUAUUUGAGGGCAAAAAUUCUAACAAAAAUAGAAACAUCCAUUAGGCAAUGUGUGAAGUUGGUAGCUACUAGUUCCAAGCAUCUUUGUUGAGUUUCCUGGGUUGUCUUAACACUUGAUUUGCUGUUGUUUCUGCUGUAUUUGCUGCUGAAUUUCUGUCGCUGUACUGCUGUAUUUUAUUAUUCUGCAAACUAGGUAACUUUCAAAUUCUUAUAUUGCAGAUUCUUGAUGGUAAUAAGAAGCAUUUGAUCCCGGUUUGGUUGAUGAAACAUGCUAGAUCUGAUUUUGUUUCAAGAUGAAUGUUAUAUUGUUGUUAUCAUCAUGUAAAUAUGUUAGAAAUUAGUUAAAUUAUCGUUUCUUCUUUAUAUAUAUGAUUGAAAUUGCAGUUUUUUUUUAAAGUUUACUUAGUUUAAGAAAAAAAUAAAGACCUCAUUUUUUUAACCAUGUUUGUUUAGUUUGGGAUCUUUUAUGUGAGUUACUUUUAAGGUUCAUGUAUAAUUAUCUAGGAACGAUUUCUAGCUCCAAAUGUUUUGAUGCUUUACGUUAUAGUCGACAUAAUGUUAUAAUAUGGUUCUUCUCUUUAGCAUUAAAGUACUACCUUUUUUUGUAGUUUUUAUAUUUAGUUGCGAUUUGUAAUUAUGAAAGUGGAUUCAAAUGCUUAAGGUGUUUACGUUACUAAUGAGUCAGUAGUCUGAUUAGUGCCAUGUUGGUGUAAAUGGGUAGAAAUAUUAUGUUAGUCUUUAAGAAAUAAAUUGAUUAAGGAAAUGAAAGAGCAAAGAUAAUGAUUAGCAUGCAAGUUUCAUUUAUGAAAAAUAUUUUUAAUUUGAACAUCAACGUGAUGAGCAAUUUGGGCUUAAGUAGAAUACUUGUCACUUUAUGUUGUGUUUCCCAUUGAAGUUCUUAAGCAGCAUGAGCCAAAUAAGCUAAAAUAUGUAUGUCCAAUGACAACAGAAAGUAAGCGGGCUUUUCCUUAAAAUUAAUAAUUUGUCUUUUAUUAAAUAAAAUAAGUGUCCCAAAACCAUGAAAGUUUAGCAUAAGUUUACCCGGGUUUAAUAUCUUGUAUUAGUUAAAAAGUAAUUUUAAUAAUGUCAUAUUUGCUCUAUUUUUUUGGUCGAAUAAGUAAUAAAAGAUAUAUAAAAAAAGGGAAAGCUUAAGCACUUUUUUAUUAAUUUAAACGCUAGGCAAAUAGUAAGCACGCUUUAACUUCACGGAAUCACUUGCGUAGCGUGAUGUUUAACAUUCAAUAAAUUAAUCAACUAAUUUCAUACCUCAUCCAAUAGUUUUAGUUUAAUUUAUAAUUAUAUCAUUUCUUAUGAUCGCGGAUUCGCUUGCGUAGCGCGAUAGUAAUUUUUAAUAAAUUUGAAAAAUUAAUUUCUUCAAGUGUAGCAACUUUUUUUAAAAAAAAA